UAGUUAGAUGUGUUGUAUUAAGAUAAAAUUAAAGAAAACAUCAUUCCACCUCAUAUGACUUGAGUCUUACAAGUUACAACCAACAGAUAUCCACAACAUUACUAAGCCACUUGCUUCAGUAUUGUUGCUAUUCCAAUCUCUUUUUCACCACCUCUCCACCUCAUAUGACUUCAGUCUUACAAACAAUAGAUAUCCAGAACAUCACUAAGCCACUUGGUUCAGUACUGUUGUUAUUCCAAUCUCUUUUUCAGUAGCUUUCCACCUCAUAUGAUUUGAGUCUUGCAACCAAUAGAUAUCCAAAACAUCACUAAGCCACUUGGUUCAGUACUGUUGUUAUUCCAUUCUCUUUUUCACCACCUUUCCACCAUCAUCUUCCAUUCUCAUGCUCUUCGUUGUCCCUUUUUUCUGGGCACGCCAACAAGAAAUCUAGUAGUUAAACCAAUGAGUCCAUCUGUACUUGGUGUAUCAGACUUUAACAUUCAAAUUAUUCUAAGGUUUUGAUUGCACUUAUCAACUUUUUCACUGCUCAAAAAUCAAACAAAGACCUGAGUUCUCUUUCCGCCAUAACUCCGUGACUCUCAGCAUGUGAGCGUGUUCCUUGCAGUACCCAUCAUCCCUGGUUCUCCAAUUCAUAAGGAAAGCAGGCAGGGUUUGUUAGGAGAAAUGAACCUAUCCGUUAAGCUAGCAUUGGGCUAAGAACUUGUGGAGCUUCUCACCAAAACCAAUUAUACCAAGCUCAUGAAGUCUGCUUCCAAUGCAAAUUACCACAAUAAUCUUCUAAAAAAUGCGAUCAUUAGUAAUACACUGUAGCAACUGAAAAAUGCCAUUUGGUAUCGAAAAAGCAUAUCACGCAUGGUUAUCCUUAUUUGUUUGUGCAUUUUGCUAUUUUUCUAAAUUUCAGACAAACACUCUUUGCAUGUUGGGUUUCGUUGGAUUUCAGUGUUGGUCUUGCCAAUUUCUGGAUCUUCGCAUGCCGGGUAGGGUUAGAUCUUUUUUCAGGUUAGAUCUGGAUCAACUCUAUGUUUAAGGGUCUAACCUCUCUUAUUAAACUUAUUUUAGUUUGGACCAAUUUUACAAGGUAAUGCUUAAUCUAGUUGAGUUCGGGUCUUAAUUUGGGUUGGCUUGACAAUAGCAUCUAAUUCAGCCUACAAGCAGCUAAUGGGUGGAUAGACCAAGAUAAUUGGAAAGCCUUUUAGGCUCUAAAUCUGUUGUUAAUUUCUUAAAUCGAGCAUGUGCCUAGUUUCGGUUUAGGCUACAUAUUUGAGCCAAAAUUUAAUGAUAAUAAACUAAUAAUUGUCGGCUCCAUGGAUCUUUGGUGGAUGUUGAUCACCAAUUUUUUUUCCUUUUUUCCUUUUCACUUUUCAAAGUAUAGUAACUUAGUCGACAUCUAGAUAAUUAUACAAAUCAUACAUCUAAAUUGAUUAGAAUCACCAAUUUGGUUGAAAGGAGCCAUCCUAGAUUAGGCAUUGAUCAUAAGAUGCAAACUUGGAGAGCCACAUGGUUGAUUGACUUCUUGCAUGCUGCAACUUAGUCUCAAAAGGGGCCUCCAUUAUAAAUUGCAAGUUGCAAAGGAGGGGAUCAAAUGUUUUCGUCGUAAAUUUGGAUCCUCCUACCCGGCCUAAAAUCAUCGUCAACAUCGUCAUCUUCUUCUUUUUCCUAAGUUUCAUUGCUCCUAGUCAUGCAAACCUCUACCAAGGCCUCCAAUGCCAGCCGCCAUGAGAAUUCGGACUUAUGAGUAGGUUGGAGAAACGUGAUGCUUCAUGGCCACUUUUGAAUCAUUUCCACUUUCUAGGUCAUCACCUUUUGGCUCACCUUGACCCAUGAAGAAUAAGACAAUGCCUCCUCAAAAAUCCAUGAGGCGAAGUAGUGGACUAUGACGCGGGGAGACCUCCAAGUCUUGUCCUAAGGUAAUUGAUUUUUAUAUGAAAAAAUACAGAACCUUUUUUUUUUUUAGAAAAGGAAAAACAAAGCUCUAUCAAAUUUACUCAAAAGAAAGAGAGAGAAUACAUAACCUUGAAGGGGAAAAAAAAAAACUCUACCAAAUUUAUUCAAAAGAAAGAGAAAGAAUUACAGAGGGCAUGAAAGAAAAAAAUAGAUGGAGUCGAAGAAAGCAAUACAUAAACUUUAGAACAUUAGAAGGAUCAUGAAAAAAAUACAUAAUUCAAAGUCGUAGCCCAUCGGUCCGGCAUAGGUGAGACUAGUAGGGCGACACACUUAAACUUAGGUCUGAAUUUUACAAAACUAAAUUCUAGAUGGGUCAAAGAUCAUAUCAAUCCAUUAAACUUUAUACAAAUCCAAACCUAGACCUAACUCAACCCUGUCCAGCCACAAAAUUAGCCAGACCCGGGCCCAAGCCCAAGCUCCAGACCACUUUUAAGUAGGUCCUAUUAACUCCAAGGGCCAAAAUAUAAAUAUCCAUGCGAGUUCCGAGGUUAAGAUACUGAGCCGCAACCCACGGCCCACAGAAUAUAGUGCAUUAGCUAUUACCGGAACCCUAACCCUAGGAGAGGAAAGAGUCGGCGCCGCUCGGAGUCGAAUCCCACCUUAUUCUUUUGGAAGCAAAACAGCAGAACUCACUCAGACGCGUUUCCGGCGGCAGCUUUCCGGCAUCAUCACAUGGUGGGCUCCUUUACCUUCUCUAGUCUCUUUGAUGGAUUGGUAUAAGAUAGGAUGCGGGGAAAGGACUGUUGAUAUUGACCUCAGGGUGGUUGGAUUUCAUUACAAAGGAUAAAAUUAAAGAGAGUUGGUAGUUGAUUGGACUGGCAGUUGUUGGUAGUUGUUGGAUUGGAAUGGGAGGUUUUGGAAAUAAAGGAGUUGGUAAAUAAUGAAUUUGAUAUAAACCAGAUUCAAUGAGGCUGAUAAGCAUCUCUCGUGCUGCAUCACCAUCAAUAUCCAUGUGAACAGCAAUGUAGAUUUCUUCAAGCUCAUUUUGCUUCUUCAAGAUAAGCUCUUUCAUUUUUUCGCUAGUUUUUAGAAUGUUCUGUCUCUCUCAGAUAGUUUAUGAUGAUGAUAAUUGAUCAAAUAUCUUUAUUUGUCUUGGAGCCAUUUUCCCCAUUGAUUUGGUUACUUAUGUGUGAUAAGUUUGAUAUAAUAUAAUGAUCAUCAUUAGUGGGAUGAGCUCGAAUAUUUGAAGUUGAAGAUUAUCAAAUUUAAAACAGUGUUUUACAUAUUAUGUUGAUUGCCCUUGAUGCUAGAAUCUUCGAUUUUGUAUAUUUUCUUGGAAAAAUAAUUUUGACAGUUUAGUCAGUGCGGAGGAAAUCUAUCAAACAACAAAUAAGUGAAACACAGCAACAAACAGAUGUUAAGAGAAACUUGAACAAAUGGAGAGCUUAUAUAUGAAAUGAUGAAGUUUGCAAUGUUGGCAUACUUUUAGUAUCAGCAAAUCCUGUGUUGAUGCCUUUAGAAUAAAUCUCAGAAAACAUCAGAAAUCUCAAAGAUCUUCAUAUAUAUCCGGAUUGUGGAUUAUUUCAAGGGUUGAGCAGGAAAGCUUGUUUUCUGUUGACACAAGUCCAGCCCUAAGAAUUUGAGAGUUGUAAUAGUCCAAACAAGAGAACAUGAUGGAGAAGUAGUAUACUUGAAAGGAAAUUGGAACAGAGCCAAAUGGUUUUGAGAUUUUGAAUAGAAGACUGGACAUUUUGAAGAGUCUGGGAUUAUUCAUGAACCUUAAAGGUUGUAUGUUUGACCUUCUCAGCAGUUCCUAUGCACUGUUUUGCACCUUUGCAGAAUCCUAUACUUUCUUGGAAGCUGCAGAUAGAACACUAAACAGGCUUGCAUCUUUUACAACGGCAUGUUGAGAGUAGGUGAAUCAGGAAAUGACAGGGGAACCAUGCACUUCUUGCCAAGUUGGAUGGCUACUAACCUUCAGGGUUGCCAUUAUCGUGUGUGGUGUUGUAGAGAAGACAACCUUAACAUGAAGCUUAAAUGGGCUGAGUUAAUUCCAUAAUCUGCUCUCUGUUUGGCUUUUUCAGAAGCUGAAUCUGAUUGAGUGUACCAGCUGCUGCUGCUAGUGAGAUCGUUGCCUUCUCUGUCUGGUUGCAUGGAUUUUCUUUUGUAUCUUUGGUGACAUGUUGGAGAUGUGAACUGAAUGUAAGUUAUUUUUUGAUCAUUUGUUUGAUGACUUUUGUGAUCUCUGCUAAUAUUUUUUUUGGGAAACAUUUUAUAAUACCUACAAUAUGUUGUAGAUGGUGCCAAUUCAGCUUUAUGAACAAUUUUUCAUUAUGGUAUCAAUAUUGAGUCAGUUUGGAUGCCAUUCUCUAUUUUUUUCUUAGUUCAAACUAUUUUCUUUGCUAGUAACGCAGAAACAUCUGCAUCAUUCCAUGCUACUCUACAGAUUUGCAUCCACAUUUUGCUCUUGCAUGCUCUUAUUACAGUAAAGCUGGAGACUUGUCCUGUGUAUUGUUCAUUUGAAACCUUUUAUUAAUUGAUGCUCUCAACAUUAACCAGACCACAUUUUGCUGAUAUAUCUGGGCAUCGCUCGGAGCUCGGAGCUGCUUCUCAUCUGGCAAAGCGAGCUGGGAUGGACGCUCUCGAUGCCAUUCCUUGUCAGGAAUCUGCCCCUACAAGGAGAUCAAUUGAAAGAGAUGGGAUCUCUUCUUCAAUUCCCCUCCAAGGGCCCUGGGGAGGGCAGCAAAAAAAUGAACCACCUUAUGACAACUGUUGCAUUGGUAAAAAUAGACGUUCAUUAGGCCCAGAGCAUGAAUGGGAGCUUCUAUUAGUCUUUGGAGUCUAACCAUGCAUGGCUCAACUCCAAGACUUUGGUGCUAACUUAGCACAAAUACUAGAUUUAGAUUUGUCUGGAAGGCGUUUUUAUUAUUUUAAAAAGAGCCUAGAAGAUCUUACAUUAGGAGGUUAAUAAAUACCACCAUGAAUAAAAAGUUUUAGGAAAUCUAAGUUGUAUUUAGCAAUACUUUAUCAUGAAAUGACAUCUAAUACGCUAAUGAUAGGGGAAAGUGUCUCCUGGAUUAGACGAAUUCGGACUUGAUCUUUUGAACCCAUGAACACAAGUCAUUGAUCGAGCCAUCAAAUGCAAACCAUGUUACAUAUAUGAUGAUUGAAUUCAACCAGGCACAAUUUUGACAAUCAGAGACAAUUUUUAGCUAAAGCCAUGACACUAUCAAGCAUUCUUUCAAAUUUGUCAGAAAAUUACACUAGAAUUAUCUAACAAACCCUUCCAAAAAAGCUACACAAUAGAAGGACCCUGCCAAAAAAAAAGAGAGAAUGGCAGAACCUAUCUUUCUUCUGAAAAAUAUUAUAAAUAAGAUAAUAGGAGAAGGGAGGUGUUUAGCAACUGCUUUUUUUUUUUGGUUUUUUUGCCAGGUUCUGGAUUACCGGGUGUUUGACACCAACAGUUCUGAUUGCUGGUAUUGUCACCGUGAUUCUCCAAAAAAAGAAGAAGAAAAGAAACAGUAUUAAAUGAUUAUAUGCAUCAUUGUUUGCAGAAUAAAAGUAUUGCUUUCUGGAUUUAUAUGAACAUUUGCAUCAAGAAAGAACUGCUUUUCCUGCCAUAUUACUGCAUUCACUGGCGGAGCCAAGGUUGGGGUAAGGGGGGCAAAAUAAUGAAAUCUAUUUUAGUAUCCGAAUGUAUCACCCAACAUGGCCCUUCAAAAAAUAUUAUAGUAGCUGCUAUACAUAUAAUGACUGUAAUACUUCACCAAGAGCAUAACGUAUAGGUGAUAGUUUAGAUCUCAACUCGUGUGUAAUUUCUCUUCCUGAAUGACAUGGUUUCAUUUCCUGAUGGACGAUAGUAUUAUCGAACUUGCUUAACUACUCAUCUUACGAUCUGAAAGACUGACAGAUAUCCCAUUUCCUGAUGAUUUGGCUAAUGAAUGCAGGAUGCAAGACAAAUCAGCUUUCAACACGGUUCUAUGAAUCAAAUCACUUUAAACACUGUUCUGUAAUAUGCUCAAACUAAAAUCUUAGAUGCACAAGUUUCCUUCUUGCUUCUUCUUCUUUCUUUUAUUUCCUAUGUUACAUAUUUUGAAGAAUCUAAAGCAUCUAAUAAGCAAGCUAGUUCACAAAACAAUCUAAACAGGUAUUCUAUCUAUUGGUUUUACAAUAUUUCAUCUACAGUCCAAGAGAAAAAAAAAAAUCAAAAUCUUAACAUUCUUUCAAGGUCUUCUUUGUAGAUGAAAACCUGAGAGGAGAAUCAUUGCUAUCAGUAGAACCAGACUUGAGAUUCGACCGUUGAAGCACUAACUCGCACAUCUUAUUAUAAGGCUUUCUAUGGCUCGUCUCUCUGAGCUACACUUGCUUAACCUUUUUUUUCUCUAGAACUAAUUAAAUGAGCUAAGAGAAAAACCAUGGUAUACCAUAUUGGCUCGAAUCGAAUAUUCUAUACUAUACCGAUUCAAUACCUGUAUCCAGUAUGAAUAGAGUACCGAUACUUGAUACAAAAUUACUAUAGGACCAUCUCUUAGGCGUGACUGAUGCUAUGCAUGGAAAAGGACAGCUAUAUUUGAGGUUGGCACCACAUAUGAAAAGCAUUCAAUCUUAUCCUGCGUAUCUUAUGCAAUCUGGCGAAGAUAUUCCAAUUGCAAGAUCUGAACCAUAUUAUUCUAAAUGGCUAAACAAGGUCAAGUGUGAACAGAUCAGCUUAUUUACUUGAAUUCAAUCAUCCGAAAAAUCCUAAUCAUACCAUCAGUAUAUCCCAAACACCACCUGUACAUCCACCAUCAAUGGAAGUUAGAAAGGGUCCACCUUAACGCUGCACGACUUCGAUAUGAUCCUCGAAUCCGCCGUCAACUUGUUUACCGUCACGUCGCACCGUACCUUAACGGUGAUCGUCCACGUCGUGACGGCGCCAAACUUAAGCCUAACCGGGACUUGAAUGUUAAUCUCCAGCGGCACCUUCCCAUGGCUCUGCGCCGUUACCAAGGCGGCGUGGGUGGCGGCGGCUAAACGGAUCCCUGAUCCCGUCAACGCCGUUUGAAAGACCGUCGCAUUCCGUUCCCCCUGGUAGAACGUGGGCCAGACGCCGUGACAGAGGUUGACGCCGUCGUAGCUGACGGCGAUGGAGCUGCCGGAGCGGUAGUAGAUGCCGAUCUUUUUGUUGGCGUUGUCGGCGCGGACGGUGGCGUCGAACUCCGGUGACAGGGCGGCGAGGUUGGCGGCGGUGGAGGAGAGGUUGAAGCCCUUGACGGAGAGGCCGUCGACGGAGUAAUUUGGGAUCUUUGGCUGGAAGACAAAGUACAGUAUCACCGCGGCCGCGGCGAGGGCGACGAGAAAGAAGAGGAGGAGAGCGGCGGUCCAGGCGAAGCAGCAGCAGCAGCAGCCAUGGCGGCGGCGGUGGGUACGGAGGGUGUAGGUCUGGAAGCGGCGGGCGUUCUCGGGCGGGGGGACGCGGUAGAUCUGGUCCUUGGGGAUCUGGAUCACGUAGGUCCCCGGCGGUGGCUUGAGCUUCUCAAUAUUCUUCUGGGCGAGGGGGUUCUCCGGCCGCGAUAUCGCCGCCGGUUCGGCAGGGGCCGCCAUCUUCUCCUCGGCGGUGGUCGAUUCAGCGGGGUGGACGCGGUCGUCCAUAGUCGCCGGAAUCUAAAGCCUUGUAGAAGGAUCUGCACAAGAAAAAGAUCAAAUCUACGAUCUUUUAGUUACGUUGCAAGAGAAUGCCACUGAUUCAAUCCAAAAAACAAAGAAAAAACCAAACUUUAACUAGUUGUUUGAGCACCAAACUCGGAAGCAGGGUUUUCCGAGUGAGAAACCGGAAAAGGAGGGCCAUUUUAUAAGAGAAAACGAGGAAGAAACGGAGAACAAAUAAGGAAACGUGGAACAGUUUAAGCGGAUUUAACGGAGAGCGAUGACAAAUUACUACAAAAGAGAUUACAAUGGCUUUCCAUAAAUGGAAGAAGGGGAGAAAAGCUCGGUAUUUCGAAUUUUCGAUCAACCAAACCUUCAAUCAAAACGAAGUAAAAUAAAAAAAAAAAGAAAGAAGAAACCAAGAAAUCCUAUUAGCAACCUUGUAAAGAGAGCGAAAAGAGCACCUCCUCCUCCUAUAUCCUUCUCUUCCCUCUCUUAUAAAACUCCGAACUCCAGAAGAAAACUAGGUGAAGGGAUGCGUUCGGCUGGGUCACAACGGUCGGGAGAUCUAAAAAAGAGGUGGUUUGAGAGAGAAGAAAGGGAAGACGCCUCGAAGCCUUCCAAUUCUAAUAUAGUAAAGUGGCGCCUCGACCAAAGGCUCAAACAAACAAAGUAAUCCUUAAUUAUUAAGACUUCUUCCAUUAAUUUCUCUAUUUUAUAGAUCUGGUGUACAUUCUUUUAUUGGUAUUUAACUCAAGGAGGACCACGGCAAAAACCCCAAGAAUACUUUAUUUAUUUAUUAAAAAAUUUGAAUAAAAAAAUAAAAGGGUCACAUAUUGAGAUUAUAGCCGUUAUUCUCGGAAGAAAUAAAUGAGUUCAGGAGCUACGAAUAGAAAAUAAAUAUAUAAAUAAUUAAGGUUGGAAAUUUUUUUAUUAGAUUGCGCGUAUGGAUUUGGUGAGAAUGUCCGGCUUUUUCGAAACUGCCGAGACACGAGAGAUUUUUUCCAUCCGGAUUUAUCGCAUAGGAAUUCUAUGCAUGUGACUGACGGGCCCACCAUAUCUUGAGUUGGUGUACCAUGAACGACCCAAGAUGACACAAAUUUGUUAGAAAAACAAUAAAAUAAUAACUCUAUCUAUUUUUAAAUAAAAUAUUUCUGAUAAUAUAUUUGAUGAUAUCUUUUUUUUUUAGCCAAAAUAGAAAUAUAUCAGACCAUGGAUCUCUCGUGAGAGCCAGCUGUAAACGAGAGAUUGCGGGGCCCACGCGGGUCGCGGUUGGGCACUAACCGCGAAGGCACGCUAUCGGGCUACGGGUAGCCCGCGGUUACGUGGCUUCUCCGCGUGGGCCCACACGUGUUUCUUUCCCAAACGCACCCACUUUUGGAAACACCCAAACGAUACCCUCUAAUUGAAUGAUGGACCGCGUGUGCUUUAGAUUUCGCGUGUCUGCCGGGCCUUAUUAGUGUGUGGGGUUCCCACACCGAAACGCGGUGCGGAGAGGACUCGAUGUGUUUGUCUGCGUGUACAGUGGGAUCCAGCUGUCAGGGAUUGGCUGGAUGCUGUCUUCAUGGGAAUCCAAUGUUCCUUGAGCCGCCAGAUGGGAGAAAUUGUGCCUCGAGGAGAUUCUUCCACGAGAUGGUCUUUUUCUAAUUCGGAAGAUAUGCAGAUAGGUUCUAAAUUUAUCAUCCUUUCCCAUAGAUCAUAUAUUUCAUGAGACGAACAAAGUAGUUGAUUGGAUUGCCUCAUUUGCUGCUUGGCAUGGUGAAAAGAUCAAUUGGACAUCUGAUAUAUCCUCUCCUUUGUACUGUUUACUUUUUUUCUGAUUUAUCAGGUUGUACCCACGAUCAAUAUGAAAAAUGCCGCUUUUACCUAAAAAAAAAAAAAUCCCACACAAGGUGGUGCACCAUGCACGGAUAAUUACAGCCAUUCGAUCCUAUAAUAAUGUAUUAAGAUAAGCACUAAGCUUUGAAAAAAAAAAGAAAGAUUGUGAUUGGCAGCCCGGCAUGCGGUACACGAAGAAUAGGAUAUAAUUUCCAAGCCAAACGGGCACAAAAAUACGCCAUGUGUUGCUUGUUUCUAUAACAAUGUAUCAAGAUAAGCACUUAAUCAAUGAGGUUAAUCAAUAAGGUCUACAGAAACAACUAAACGUUCAUGAUUAGUGGUGUGCAUGAUUAUGGUGCAUACAGUGUAGGAUAUAAUAUGGUUUCAGGUCUGAUUUCAACUAAGCCGGCCUAGAAAAGCCCAAAGCCUAGUAAUUAGUCUCCACAAUCCACAUAGCAAUGAUCCGCACCUAGAAAGGCUUGAGGAACAGAUGAAGGGGAACUGAAGGGGGGCAAAGCUGGUUAUCAGUGGACCAAUGUGCGCUCAUAAUCACAACAUAUCUAAUAGCUACGACUUCCAUAUUCUUUAACAGAAUAACUAAUAUUUUCUUAGCUCUUAGCGGAUCAGAAUCUUGAAUUGUGUUCCAAUAAACUAACUUUUCAAAAAGCAGCAACUAGAACAUAAUGAAGUGUUCUUUCAUCUUUAGAGAUUUAUGGACCAUUCAUUCUCAAGUACAAAUUCUAAGACAUUCAGUCAGAAAUAUAUAUCCGUCUGGUGAAAAAUUCAUGAAGAACUGCCGAUGAAUUUGGGAGCAUCCAAAGAUUUUCUCAAGUUGAUUUUCUCUGUUCGUUUCUGAAUCCUAAUUUGCUUGGCCACAUCCAGUAUGUAGAUCAAAAUUUCCUGCUGAGUGCUCUUUAUGCAUAUAGAUUCAUCACUUUGUGUUGUUUAGGGACGGUUUUGUUGAUUAAGAAUGUGGUUUCCCAUCGAACCAGGUUGGAGAUAAGUACAUCCAGACAAAUUUGUUCUGGAAUUUGCUUGUAAUUUAUUACAAGUUCAUGUAUACCAGUUUGUUAGAUUAAUAAUAUUGAAACCAGACACAAAGAAUAAUGAAGAGGAAAGAACAUCUAUUAAGAAGGAUUUUAUGUGUAAUGAGGAAGUGGUCUUUUGCUCAUUUCCCUACAUAUCAUUUUGCAAUUCAUCUUCUUUCUCGCGAAAGAAUAAUUCACCUUCUAAUGAAGUAAUUAACUGUGAUCUGACACAGUAAUGCUGAUGCAAUACUCUCAACAACACUAGAACAGCAAUAAUAAUUAAAAGAAUCCGAUAUGUUUCCAGUAUAACGACCAAGAGAAAGGCCCCACAUUACUCUUGAAAAAUAACAUUCUCAUUUCUUAAAUCUCACAUGAUGAUCAGUGCUUUCUACUUUGAACCUCACAUGCAGGAACACUAGAUGAAUAACAAGACUAGGAACACCCAAUGAAGAUAAUAAGCAAUAAGUACAUGAAAAUAUUUAUCAUUCACAAAAAUCACCUCAUCAGCUUUUCAAGAAUCAUUACAUUGGAAGUUAUAAUUUACAAGAAGCAAUCAUCAUCAAACCUCUACUUUAACAACAAACAGUCAAGACAAAAAAUAUAUUAUAAAAGAAAAGCUGACCAAAACACUAUCCACAAAGCAAUCAAUCAGAUAAUAAUAUCAAAGAUGAAAAACCCCAAAAAAACUUUCAGAACCGUUUACCAAAAUUUACCCAAAAUUUCAACUAACCAGAGUGGUAAAACAAAUAUCCCAGCACCUCAAGCAAAACAACCACGCAAGAAACAAGCAAAAAAGGAAAACCUUUCUUAAUAGUUAUCCUUAAAUUAAUCGGAAUCACUUGAGCUAGAACUUGAGCUGGAACUUGAUCCUGAUUUAGCAGACUUGGUUUUCUUCUUCUUCUUCAAGGCGGAAGCAUUGGAGCUAGAACCAUCAUCCAUCUUCUCAACCCCACCUGAUUUUCCAGCAUUUUGUUGCUUACUUGAGCCAAUUUCCUUAGAGACGGCUUCCUUGAAAGCCAACUCGAUCUCUUCAGCAGAAUGCACUUCAAGAACACCAGGCUCCAGGUGUCUGUCACUUAUCUCAACUUCUGCAGACCCAACAUUGGGUGUGGCCACCUUUGGAGGGUUCUCAUGGAUGCCAUCAGAUGCUUGCUUGAAAGCUAAAUGUAUUUCUUCAAAAGAUUUUGCUUCAACCAUCUGCAGGUCGGAGUGAAUCUCCAUCGGUUCAAAAUGCGGCCCUUCUGGUAAAAUUUGAGAUGGUCCGACUUCAGGAACAAUAGAUUUACCUGGACUUCCUUCCGCAAGUUUUUUGAAAGCCAAAUUGAUAUCUUCAACAGAUUUUGCUUCAAGAACUAGCAGUCCUGAAUCAGUAAUUGUUUGCUCAGGAUCUCUUUCAGUGAUAACCAAUUCACUUGCACCAACUUCAGGGGCCAAUGUUUUAGACUCGCCAACAAUGGGCUCUGAACCAGAAGACGCCCCAGCUUCUUCAUGGAACUGCUUGAAAACCGAAUCAAUUUCCAUAGAGCUCGCUUCAAGAAGAUGCAGCCUAGGAUUGUAAACAAUCUGCUCAGGAUUUACAAAUGAUGACUCAAAUGAAGACCCGACCUCUGAUUCCACAGAAUUUGGCUGGUCGAUGACUGAAUGCAAUUCUUCAGACAGGUUCAAAUUGGCUUCAGAGCGUAGACUCAGAGAUAUAUCAGCAUACUCUGUGGAUCUCACUUCAGAAACUUGCAGGGUGGAAGUGAAUUCAUGCAUUUCAGAAGCUAAAGAACUUGUGGCUACAUCAUCAGAUUGGCCUAGUUCAGAUCCUUGUUGAUCUGACCUCAAUUCUUCUACAUGGAAGUCACCAACUGCAUCCAAUUCUGACAGAAGGUUUUCAUCAAUCCCUCCGACAUUUAUGACAUCAGGAUGGACCUUACCAGAUUCCUCAUCUGAAUCGUUUAUAUUCUGCUGAGAAUAGCCUUCUUGCUCUCUUUGGACAGCAUUGACAAUGUCGUCCCUUGAAUCAGUCAAAACAGUACUGGACUUCAUCUCAAGCUCGGACUUUGCCUCUGAUAGAAUUGAGAAGUCCAUGCCUUCCUUCGGCUCAAGCAACUCUAAUCCAGUAAAACUACCAUCGUGAAUAGAAACUGGAGGAAUAACUCUGGGAUUCACAUCCACUGGCUCAUAAGCAAGCCUACAAGCCCCGCCAGCAUCACUUUCCUCUGUUGACUUCCUCUGAAAUAGAGAUAGCUCUUGUUCUAUAUCAGAUAAAACAGUUCUGGGUUCUUCAAGUAUGUGCAAUCCAGUUAAACCAACAAAUGACUCAGGCUUUGUCAAAUUUUCAUGCUCCUCUUCAGGUUUAUAGUCAUCUAAGUUCUCCUCGGGAAUUGGAGGCAAGUCCAAGAUACUUAUUUGAGAUUCUCCAACACCAACUUCAGAUGAUGGCUGCAUUCCAGAUUUCUCCGUAGAGUGUGCCUUUUCAAAUGCAGAUGAAAUCAAAUGAUCAGACAACAGUAGACUGUCUGAAUAAGAAGAUGUUGCAGUAUCAAUCAUCACAUUUCCUUCAGUCUGAUGGCUCACAUCCACAUUAAUUCUCGGCUGAUGCAUAAUAUCCAUAGUUGCUGGCUCUGACAAUACAGGUGCAAUCGGAUCGCUUGCAUUUUUCUGGACUGGUUGUAAUCCAACUUCAAUAACAUCUGCCUCUCUAAGUUCAGUUAUCUCCCUCGUUCUUGAUUCAUAUUCGGAAGCUAAUUUUGAUGAAGCCACCCAAAGCCCUCCGGUGGAGGAUGCCAACUCCUCCCCUGCGCUUCUAAUUCCUGAACUAACAUUUCUCCCAACAGGGCUUGGAGAUGAACCCACGUGCUGUAUUUCAAAUUUCAAUGAACUGGCAUCAGAACCUCCUUUAUCUGCAUAAAAACAAAGACUCGUUACACGAAGCAAUGAUAAAAGGAUUUCACAUCUUUCAUAAUGGGUCCGAGCUAAGUGCCCUUACCACCGUCUGAUGAAGCUUCCGAAAUGUUAGACAGGGAUUUUUUGAUUGCUGAUGGGCUGGAAUCAUAAAUGGGAUCAGCAACAUGACUGUCAUCAGCUCUCUCUGCCCUGCUCGGACAAUAAGAAUCACCAACUGCAAGCAUGGGAUCCCUAGUUUGCUCCAGAUUAGCUGAUUGUUCACGAAAGCCUGAUCUGGGACUCUUCUCAUCCUCUUCUGACGAGGAGGGGCUUGGCUGUUCAUACUUCUCUUCAAUCACUUCCAAUUUCUCAGCAUCUGAAGAGCUUGGAAUUAUGUCUACUUCAUCUCUGAUUUCCUCUUCCAUUGCUCCAAAAGAUUCAGCAGCUUGGCAGUUUUCAUCAUGGACACUGUUAGCAUCUAGUUGAAUUCCAUGAUCAUCAGCGAUAUUGAUCUCACUCUUCUCUUGUUCAACCUUCAUUGCUUCAACUUCCUCAGAGGGCCGAGCUUCUUGUUCAACAGGUUCAGCAUCAUGUUCAGGAGGAGACAGCAAUUCACCUUCCUGACACAGUUCUUGUUCAACAAGCUCUUUAUGAUAUUCUUGAUCUGUGACCGAAGAACCUGUGUCAGCAUCUGGAACAGAACUCACCUUCAAAUUACUCUUGUCACUGAAUUGUCUCUGAAAGGCAGCAGAACUUGUCUCCUCCGAGUCCAUCCUCUCUGCAACAAAAUAGGGUUUCAACCUAGACUCCUGCUGUUCUUGUUUAAGUUUGGUAUCUCCCAAGUUGAAGGUCUCAUUCCUCAUGAAAAACAUCUCUCUUUGUGGAUCUGAAGCAAAAUCUUGAUGGCUCCAAGUCUCUACCGUACGGCUGCUGCUUACAUCUGCUGGAUCAUAAGGGAAAUCAAACGGGUUCCUUCUGGGCAGCAGAACAGACGGGGCUGAACCUGGAAUUGGUGGCAAACUGAUUGAUUCCCCUGAAUCAUAUGGAAGGUCAAAUGGAUUCUGUCUUGGUGCUGAAAUGGGUGGAAUUUGAACAUGAAAGCGUGACAGUUCCUCCAUGCUGCCAUCCAAGUCUAUCAUAUUUCUCUCUGUUCCAAACCUUAGAUCCUUCCUUGCUCUUCGUUUUGCAAUUAGGCUCUCCAAUCUUCGAUUUCUUUCCAGUUCAGAAGACCCAAGAUCCAUAACAUUCUUCUGAUCAUCUGCUGUCCAUGUCACCGCAGCUUCCGCCCCAUCAUCUUUUUCUUCCUGUGCUUCUUCAUCUUCUUCAUCCUCCUGGUUUUCAGCUUCUUCCUCCACACUAUCAUCAUCUGAUUCAUGAUUGUGAGAGGACCCUUGGGAAGCACCAUCUAUGCUGCCUUUGGAUAAAAGAGCGGGCUGAGUUUCAGAGCCCAAAAGUGGGUGAAGCUCAUCGAGCAUCGGAAUGAUGUCAGCCAUAGAAGCAUCAGGCGAAGAACUUUCUGCCUGCUCGGAUUCAGAAUCUGAAGAAGCAUCAUGGAUGUCAAUAUGCUGCCAAGGUGAACCCAGAGAAGAAUCAAAGUAACUGUCCAAUGCUGGCUUAUUAAUCUCCACCUUAAGGCCUUCAUUUUCCAUUUUAUCUGUUGCAGUGAAACCAUCAAUAUCUUUGCCCACUUUAAGCACACCUUCAGCUACAUUUUGUCCAGAAAAUUCUUUCUUCUCAGCUAUUUCCUGCUCGUGGAGCUCUCUUUCUUCUGUCACUAUCUCCUCACCAGGAAUCUCUUUCUUGUGUUCCUUAGCUGAAGAGCUCGCAGCCAAAGUGUCAUCCUUCUCAUCUCCCUCAUCAUAUAUUGUUGCAAAAGGGAUACUCUCCUCUACCUCACAACAAGGAGUAGCCCCUUUUUCACCCAAAACUGCCUCUUUGACUGCCAUUUCCUCUAUCUCUCUUUGAUUUUCCACAUGGGUCUCAACCAUGCAGCUCUCAUCUUUCCUAACAACAAGAUCACUGGCAGAAGAACCAACUUGCAGAGAAGAAAUUUCCUGAGUCCUCUUAUCCACUUCUUCAAUUUUAGGGAUAUUUGGUUCACCAUGACUCAGAAGGGUUCCAAGAAGAAGAGCAGUGCAGAUAAGGACGGGUGAGGAAGACACCAGAAAAGCAAAUAGAGAAGGAAAAGAUUUGUACAGUAUAAGCACGAAACACACCACACUGAAAAUAAAAGGAUGAUCUCGAGCAGAUUUAUAGCUAGUUCUGAUGGCAUAUAUCAGAAAUUUUUUGAUAUGUAAUAUAACUUCCUUUCUCUCAAUUGCCAUAUCUUCUUGCCUUUCUUUCCUCCAAAAAAACUGGUGGCAACAAAGAAAGACAAUGAUAUUAGCUCUCCAGUAGAAACUUGACAAAAUCAAAUUUAUGGAAGGGGAGAAUAUACAAGAGUUCAAGCUCAAGCAAAAGCGAGCAAAACCUGAAGUCCUGUUAAAUAUGACUUCCAAAAGAAAUGAAAAUAUCAUCAAGAAAAUAUAGUUCCAUUUCUCAAACAUAUGUUUAAAUCCCAACCUGGGUGUAACCGGUCAGAAUCAUAGAAGACCAAACAAAGAGAUAGAUAGACACGAAGUAUUGCCCUAGAAACCUGCCGUCAACAUCUUUUUUCUUCUUUAGUUUCUUUUUACAGAUCAGGGUUUAAGAGCAAAGAAAAAAUAUGCUGGAUUUUAAUUUAUCUCAAAAGGAAACCAACUUAUGAAAAGAAGAAACAAUAUAUCCAUUAAUGAAUUAGAUUAAAGUAUGAACAAGGAAGCAGCCCAAUUCUGAGAAACAGCAAACCUUUGUUUUUCACAUGAUAAUGCUCUCAUCAAGUAAAGAUUACAAAAACCUUUCCUUCUCUGUAAGUUACUCUGUUGUACAUACUCUCUGAUUAUCAAUAAUGAACGGGUGGCAGUUUUUUGCCUCCCUUUACAUCAAAAAAAAAAUGAUAAUGGGCAAAAGACUCCAGAAAACAGAUUUAUCUUCACUCUUCUUUCUCAAUACCAUUUAUAACUAAUGAAAUCCAUGGGCUAUAAAUUUGACCAGAUAUCAAAAGCAGUCUCAAACAAGGUUCUUCUAUUUCUUCACUUAAUCAUAUAAACUUAAAAAAAGAAAGAAGACACAAGAAGAAAAAAAAAGGCACUUCAGCAUAUAAAUCUUCAGAAAUCCACCUCAAAGAACCCAUCAAGAAGAAAUCUUUAGAAAUGAUAUCAACUGACAGGGAAAUUAGGCUAUUUUACUUCCGAAGGCUGUUAUUGUAUCCUCCCAUUUUCCUUCUCUUCGUGAUCAGAUUUCAAGUGAGAAGUUGCACUUGAGGACCAACUGAAUGGAAUGCAUUGGGAAAUAGAUGUAAUAACAGAUCAAUCAGGAAAGAAAAGAAACAGAAGCCUCACUGAUCGAAACCGAUUCCCAUUUGAGAAGGAAAAACAAGGAGAUGAUGAUCCAAGUAAAAAUCCAGAAAACCAACCUCCAACUACUUAUCAAGAUCAAAUCUUUCGGCGGAAAAGCAUCUCCAGAUGAUCAAUAGAACAAGAUUUCACCUUAAAUCCACCAAAACGCAAGUGCAAAAAAAAAAGAAGAAGCUCUGCACUAGUUUUUAAUAGUAAAAUGAAUCAAACUCACCUGAAAAAAGCGAUCAAAAUCGGAUCUAAAAACCGAAAGACGUGACUGCUGAAACCGUAGUAAGAUAAGACGAGAUAGAAGGACGCUUACAAUGGAUCAAAGAACAAGGAAAAGAUGUUCACAACGAACGGUCCAAAACUCUCUCUUCUACUCACUAAUUUCUUGUGCCUUUGUCAGCGAAUGAGGUGCGGCUCUGGUGUUUUGGGCGGCGAAGCAAAGGCCUAGCGAGCCGAAAGGAAGGGGGGCGGUGGGAGAACAGAAUCUAAACUAAAGAAGAGGAAAGUGGACGGGGAAUGGGCUCUCUCGUACGAGGCUGACGAGAUCCAACCGGCGUCAAAAGAAAGAACUUUUUUUUGUUUACUUCUAUUCCUGUCCUCCUCGGUUCGUGGGAUUUGUACAAAUGCCCAGGCUUUCACGAGUUGUGAUAACUCGCCUCCCAUUUUCAGUAAAUGCACACCAGUUCGGUCAUUCUCUCUCUAGAACGUACAUAGAACAGAGACAAUAAAAGAAGGAAAUUAUAUGGGAACAAUAGUAUAAUAAUGUACUGCUAUUAGUAUGAAGAGUGAAGUGCAAGUUCAUACCAUUAUGAGGUCAUGUAAGAGCUCUUGUCAAAAGGGAAAAAGUUGAUUGAAAAGCUGCUUAUAAUUUGGAUAUGAGCUAGAUUCAGAAGCUCGAAGGUCAUUUCUCAAUUUACUCUGCUGUAUAAACUUGUAUACAAUUAAACUAUUUAUAAGACUAGUUUUUCUAGUUGAUAUAUUUUCUAUUUUUGAUCUUUGCAAGUGUAAAUUCUAAUAAUAGCCCUAGAUUGAGAGAAGUUGUCUAAGUGCUGCAAUAUGAUCUACAGGCAAAAUAUCUAUAGUUCGAAUUGCAUGGAAAUGCUUCAGAGCAUUUAUUGAUGUUAGAUGUAAGUAAUCAUAUUUGCAAUGGUUUCAAUCUUUAACAUAUUUAGCUACCAAGAACCAAACAUGCUUAUAGUCUAACCCUUCUCUAAACAGUAACUAGAUAAAGGAAUUCUAAAAAAAGAAAAUGAAAAAUUGAGAAUUAUGAAAUGGCCAAAAGAUACAACUAGAGGUGCAUAGGAAAAAGGCGCAGCGAGACAUGGUAAUUGUUUUUUUUUUUUCAAAUGUAGUAAACAAGUUGCAUGAAAUUUGAGCAACUUUUCAUCCACCUCUGGCUAAUCGAAGAAUGGAGAUUGUUAUAAGGAGCUCAUCUUCGAAAAAUCUAUAGGUAAUACUUAUAAUUACUACGACAUAAAUAUAUUGUCCAACAAUACUAAAGCAACAACUACACAGCCACUCUUAAUUAUGCUUAAUAGAAAUUCUCUAUAUAUUUUUUUUAAGUCUUAUAUUAACAUUGUGCCUCGUCGAGUCCAUCAAAAUCCAAAAUUUGACUGAAUUAACACGACCAACAAGUUCUUUAACAAAUAUUCAAAUAUAUCUUCUAAUUAAAUUAAUUGUGGACACAUUUAGACAAGAUUAAACUAUGUGGUCAGGGCUAGGUUUAAAACCACAAAUGCACAAUAUAAUGCUAAUUGAUUUGAGGUCUACUUUUUCGAUCCAAACCUAUGCUUUUGUCCAAGAUUCAUUGAUUCAAAUUUAUGUCACAGUUAAACUUAUGGGUGAUUCAAACUCUUUUAAUUAUCAAAUCAUGUUCUCUAGAAGAUUAUUUAGCAAUAGGCUCGACUAAAAUCUCUCUUUUAUAUGUAGAAAGAAAGGCUUACCGCUGUUGGCCAAUAACAUUCCAGAAGAAUCUUUUUAUUAUAAAAUAGUAAUGUGAACUAUUGAAGGCGCAUUUUUUGGGGGUUGCAUUUCCUUGCUGCCUUCUCUUAAUCUAUCUAGAGAAAUAGAGCGGAGUGGCUGCAUAAUCAAGGAAAAGGGAGUAUAGUUUGCUGCUAAAAAGAGAAUGGCAUAAAUUUCAAUCAUUUAUGCAUAAAGUUUAAGGAUUAUAAACCGACGCCAUCUUUUAGAAAUAUGAUUUUUUUCAAAGAAAAAUAAAAUAUCUAAAAUUAUGAGGUAAAAGAAAAAAUAUUUGUAAGUUGCGAGACUUCAUUGUUAAGCCAAGCAAGUGUUUGCCUACUUUUCCAUGAGGUGUAAAGCAACUUCUUUCUUUCAGUAAAUUAAUCUUUAGGAUAUGAGAUCAAAGUUUGCUACGACGAAAUUUUUCAUUUUUUUUCCUAGUAUAAAGAACAAAAGCGAAAGAGCUCCAUUGUUUAUGGUUCUUAUGGUCCUUUGAUACUCCCAUCAUUUGCUUUUUGAACUAGGUAAUGGUCCUACUUCAUGUCAUUGAUAACACAAUCCAUUUGAUAUGGUACUCCAAAUAAUCACACCAAGUUCAGGCUUUCAUUGUAAGUCUUCCAAUUUUGAUCUAAUACGUGCCUUGAGUAGGUUGGGAAUAGUUUUUGGUCCAAGCUUAUUAGAACAUGAUCUAGGCUUGAUUAUAACAAGCCCCACCCUCUGAGUUGUUAACAAAAAUCCUUUUGAACAUAUUUAUCCAGGUCUUAUGAUGUUCAUCAAAUCCAACGCCUUGUUGGAUGGUUUUCAACACCCCACUCCUUUGGUGUUUUAUAAUGAUCAUUAUGGAGCAGAAUACUUGUAUCCAUCCCUGGACCCUAGAGAUGUUUGCUGUUGACCGUUGGGGGAUAAGUUUGAAAAAAAGAAGAAGAACAGCAAGAAAUAAAGUCAACCCUCUUUUAAGAGGAGAGAAAAACGCAUGUUCACACUUUUAAUUUUAGAAAAAAAAAUGCCAUGCAUUCUAUCACUGUUUAGAUUGUAGAGUCUGAUCCAAUGAUCCAUAUGAAUCAUGAUGUAGAAUUAAGGUAUUGAUACUCAUAUUCAUGCAAGGUUAUUGAUUCACAUUGCAGCUCAUUUGGUGUAACAAUGCACGACACUUACUUCAUAUGUACGUAAUAAAUUUUAAAAAUAAAUAUUAUCCCAUUAUUGGAGAGAUGGCAGCCACAAGCACACGAUGUAUCUUCCAAAUAAAAAUUAUUCAAAUUUAUUUUCACAAAAAAUCAGCAUAUUCUCUCAAAGAAAUUUUCAACUAGUUGGAGGAGGAAUAGUGAAUGCUCCAUAGAACCAAAUGAACACAUAGAUAAGCUGAUUUCAGUCAUCUUGACCAUGUUGAGGUAUGUGUUCUUAUUUCAUCAAUUUAGUUUUGAUCUUAAGGGUUGUCAUUGAACCUAAGCACAAAUAUUGCCCUAAGUAUAGUCGAACCUUUAUCAAGUAUUUAACCUUGGUUCAAGACUAGAGAUUAAUGCUUGAAACACACCCAAAAGUAGUCAUGUAGAUUAGUUUCACUGAUAUAAUGAGAGAGUGGAAAAAUUGUGAUGAUACAUGCAAUACUACUUUAGAGAGCAUAUUCAAAGUGGUGGAAGGAGCUAAAUUCAGGAGAGUAGAUUUUUCAAAGAAGUUAUUCUUUAAUACUUCUAUUAUAUCAUGUAAAGGAUUAUUGGAUACACGAUAUUACCACAAGUAGUAUUAAAACAGGGUACAUAAGUAAACAUAUCUACAAUUUGAUUUCCAAAUAAUAAUAUAAUCUCAAAAUACUAUCAAAAGAUGUUCAAAGAUUAAGCUUUAUAAACCUAUUUUUUGAUGUAAGGAUUAGAUUUUUUUUUAGAACGAAGGGAUAGAGAGCAACAUAAAAUGUAGGAGUUUAUUGAUUGGAUUUUAGGAGGUGAUAAGGGCCUAUCAACAUAAAAUGCAUACAACAUAAAUGACAUUUUCUUUAAAAAAAUAAAAUAAAAUCUUAAUAUUCUGCAAAAUAUAGAAACUUGAAUAAGAAUUUCUUAACAUGUAAGCUGAUGGUAUGAUUCAUCUUUAGAGGCCAUAUUAAAUGUAGUGGAAGAGUUAAUUGAGAUACCAAAUAAGACUUGGAGAUAAUUAUUGAAAGGGUAUGGCAUGCUAUCCUUUCAAGAAAACUUGACCUUAAAAUGGAACCAAUGCCCAACUUUAGCAUCCAUGUAAACCCAAUUAAAUAAAUGGGAGUAGACUAUUUAUCCUUGUUUAAUAAGAUUAAAUCACUCUAUCAGCAAGUAGAAUACAUGCAAAGAAUAAUGGUCGUGCCGGCUUGGAUAUAAUUAAUGAAAGGAUUUGACAUAUUAUCUUUUCAAGAAAAUUUGUGGAACCAAUGCCCAACUUUAGUGUCCAUGUAAACCCAAUUAAAUAAAUGGGAGGAGACAAAUUAUCGUUGUUUAAUAAGAUUAAAUCACUUUAUUAGCAAGUAGAAUGCACGUAAAGAAUAAUAGUUGUGCCGGCAAUUACAAAGUAAAAUGUCUAAGCAAACAAUAUUCAAACUUAUAUGAUAGUAUGUUUCUCAUACGGACACUAGCAUGACAAUUUGACUACGUUACUUUACUUCUUUUUUUAUAUAUAAAAAAAACUAAUAGAGCGCACGCUUAGUAGUAACUCUCUAACUUGGCCUCCUUUCACCGUGCAAAUUUUCGAUCCUAAGUUAUUGGUACAAUUAGCUUCAAUUUGACCAAGCCUUUUUUUUUUUUUUGCUAAGGCUGGUAGAUCAUACCUGACGAGUACGGAUGCAUCCAAUAAAAUCAAAAAACAAGACUUCCUUAGAGUCAUUGUGCAUACGCAAGUUGUCUUUUUAAAAUGUAUAUAUUCACAAGAGAAGAGAGAUGUUUAAAUUAUCUAUAGAGUAUUUCCUUGACCUAAUCAUAUACGAUGAUGACCGGUGCCUAUUGCAGGGUUUCUUGACAUGGAAAUAGAAUUUGAUGUUGGGAUAAAGUUAGACCAUGUAUUUUUGCAUUUGACCCAAUGUAGAGUAUUAUUACCAUAACAAAUUUAGAUAAGUGGAUGAUGACUUCUAUUCAAUGUCCCCUCUUGUUGCCAAUCCCAAUCUCCACAACUUCAGAUUAAUCCCAAGAGAAAGGGAUGGGGUGAUGAGAAUCCGAAGCUUUUUGAGUACGUAGGAAAUGGACAACAUACUCUCUCCGGUCGGCUUUUUGCGUCAUCUUGUUUCACUUUGGAAAAGAGAAGUACCAAACGGAUACCUUUCUUUCCAUCUAAUCCAGCCGGCCACAAGAAAUUCCCCCCGGGCCCAGCCUAACAGAGCUAAAAGAUUAGCAGCUGUACCCUUUAAUUCCAUAUGAAUAUAGGGAAGUUCCUUUGUUUGAUUUCUUUUUAAUUGAAAUAAAUAGCUAUUCCAUAGAUUGGACAGAGCAUAUAUAAAUUCUAAUAUGAAAAAGUUAGGCAGAUGGCACGCUUAGUCUGAAUCCUUGCACCCAUUCUAGGAUUAACCAGCCUCUUAGCACAUGAAGCCAAACUAGAUGAAAGUGAAUUAGGAUAGGCUAAUCUAUGUUUCUACCUUAUUAUAUUCUUAUUGUUUAUAUUAAGAGAGGUUAAUCUCCACCUUUCUAUCUUAUUGUUUAUACCUUAUUGUUUAUAUUAAUUGAACCCUACCCUCUUUCCUAUGUAGUAAGGAAGUACGAUACGAGUAAGUGUCAUGGAAAAUGUACAUAUGCUGAGUGUACGAAGAAAAUUACAAAUACACGAGAAGUAACAAAAACAAAUAACAUUUAUUAUAGAGUGAUUCUGAGAUAAUUUUAUUUAUAACCAUCAAGCUUCACAUCUAUGGUCACGUUAUGAAAUUCUUAUCACUCAGCCAUCCACUCCCACAGAUCAAAUACACGAGAAGCGUGUUCAUUUUCCAAUAUUUGAACUGCAAGCUUGCAUCAGAAAUCACUUUAUAACUUGACCUUAUUUUCUAAAUAGGUAAUAAAAUUAAUGCUUAAUUAUCAUCUUUUCUUUGAAUAAUUCUUAGGACCGACGCCAAUAAUGUCAACAAAUGAUUUAUGAAUAAUUUACAUAAUUAUUGGAAGUAGUAAGUCCAUUGGCAGGUGGUUUAUACUAAUACAAUUAUGAAUAACUCGACUGAUGAAUACCUAUGAAUGACUUUAAAAUACUAUAAUGAUUCAGGGAGUAUUCUGACAUAACUUGCUGUUUGAUGGCAUGUGGCCAAUCAGAUUUGUAUGAAAUGGGCUAAGUAAGCCUCAUUAUUAUCAUAUGAGCAUACAAUGUUUGAACCCAGAAUUCUUUCAUCAAAAUUCAAAUCAAAAGAGGAUUUAUAAUAAUCCUAAAGUCCAUGACAUUCAAACUAGUUGUUAUGUUUGCUUUUUUGGACUAGCUGCUUUUUAAAUUCAUAUGAUUUUGACUCCAAAUUUAAGCUGAAACAUAAAAAUGUCAAGGCAUUUAUGCAUAUACUCUAGACUAGUAAGAUUUAUCAAAGCCUCAGAAAAAAUUGCCACCAUUUGUAGUUCUUACAUCGGUCGAGCAAGUUUUAUUUGUCUCUCUGUAUCUCACAAAGUGAGAUUCAUUUGAACCCAUGACUCCUCCACAUUUCCUCUCCCCAGUUUAUAAGUUCGAUUUUAGCAUAAACAGAAACAUAUGCUUUCAUGAACUACAAAAGAACAGAUAUCUAUCUGUUAUCAUUAGUUUAAAAGCCAAAAAAAGCAUUGUAUCCAUGUCCAGUUGGUCGCCAUCAUUUCUGGCUUCGUUUUAUAUUUUAAGUAGUAUCAUUAUAGCUGCCAUUGUCAAGCUUAGGCCAAGGGCCCAUUCUAGGAAUCCAGUAUAUGGAAGAUUGGACCAGAGUAAUCAUGGAAGUUCCAAGCUUUAUUAAUGAUACAUCUAUCUCUGCAAGAGGAUUAAGGACAACUUAGGGCAAUUAAGUAAUAAAUCCCAAAUGAUUCAAAUUGGACUGGGAGAGAACCAUAACAUGGGCCGAGCUUUGUUAGUUCUGAUCUGGUUAUGGUGGACAAAGAUAUUAGAGGAUUACCAUCUUGACUACAGAGUAGUAUUAUUUAAUUUUUCCUUUAUUUAAUUUCAUCUAUUCAUAUCUUCCGAAUUUGGAUUUUGAGGCUCGCUUUUGGGUUAGCUUUCUGGAUAGGGUUCUGAAGUGAGAUCAGUACCUUUUAUAAAAAUUUGUACGCCCGCUAAGAGACCCCCUCGAGGCUGUUAUGUAAAUGUAUCUUGGAUCCAUAUGACCAAUCUGAUAUCAAAGUGAUCUUAACUGAUCCAACUAAGUAGGCUCUCGAAAUUUUUUAGGUUAGUGAUCGGCCGAUGGUUCCGAUCGCAUUAUCUCAAGCACAAUUAGAUGGAAACAUGGACCUCCUCCAUGAUCGAACUCUGAGGAAUUUAUUUACCAUGUUACAAUCAUAUUGUUGAACCUCUAUCAUGCCUAAUGAAUGAAGUUGUUCAUCAACAGCUCGAGCUCCGCUAAAUGUUGCUCAUUCAACAAGGAAAAGAACCAAAAUUCCAACAUGACUGAAAGCCGAGCACCUUGUGCUUGCACAAAUAAACAAAAGCUCAAGAUCAGUUUACUAACAAGCUUUCUGAAGUUUUUUUCUUUCUUUUUUUCAACAACAAAAAAAACCAAGCUUGAAGAGCUGUUACCAAACUCAGCUAGAGCUCAGUUAUCCCUUUUCAUAUAAUGAGCUCAGAUUGGAUAUCUCAGUGCUUCACUUGGCUCAGCUUGUUUAGCUCCAGUUGUUGGGACUAUUGGUAUCAACAAUGGUAAGGGCGAUGAUUGCAUUAUCCAAUAGAAGCCCAAACUGCUCAAGGUCUCUCAUUUGCACCAUCAAGCCAAUAAUGUGCAAAUUGGUUGAAAAAUAGAGAUAGAAUCAAAGAAAUCCCUUGAUUGUUUAAAUGUUUAUCUGAAGCUUUUCCAAUUUUUGUUUAAAAAUAUGAAAAAGAGAAAAUGAAAGCAUCUGGUCUAAGGAUUGAGGAUUAUGGCAUACUGGGCCUAUUGUAUUUUGGACCAGAACGAGAGCCCUAAACAAAACGAAAGAAAAUUGUGGCUGUCUCAUCCUUAGUCUACCUGCAAGGCUAACAUUGAAAAUUCUCAAUGGUCAGAAAUUUUUGUAACAUGGUCAGGAUAAGAUAUUUUAGAUAUUAGGAAAACAAUCAGGAGCCACUCUUAGGCAAAUGUCUGCAUUGGGGACUGGUCAUCCAAGUAGCUGCAUUGAAUGAAAUGGAACUGAUCUAGCGGAAAUAUUUUGAUAUGGUUUAUGAAUUUGGAAACCCUUUUAAAGGGCAAGUUGGAAAAUGAGAUCACAAGAUUAAUGAUACAUCACAAAAAGGAAAGGCAGAGAUUUAUAAUCUUCGAUAAGAACAUAAAUAAAAAAUCUCAUGCAAUCAAGAUCGUCACAUGCAUCCCACUAUGCAAUGAUCAUUGCAAAAUAUUCAGUUUGGUUAAUCAAGAAAUGGAUCAUGACUGUCUAGUUAAAAGAAAGGGAAGAAACAAAGAAGUUGACAGCGCAGUUAACAAUGAGAUCGACUCCUGAUCAUUUUUGAAUUGAAAAGAUAGACAUGUAUAAGGUGUGCUUCCUCAAUUAAAGUUUCAAUUGGCAGAUAAUUCUCAAAUGUACCAAUUGGAAAUUGUUGUUUCUGUUAUAACAUAAACAGAUGGAAUAGUUUACCAACCAAACACAAUUAAAUUUUCUGUAAAUAAAAUAAUAGUUAUCAUGCAGCCUUUAUCAGUCAUCAUAAUUAAAAAUAACAGGGGCAAUGGUAAAAGCACCUUGCUGUUUGAUAAUGUCAGACAGAACAAAUACAUUUUAAUAUAAAGAUUUGAAUUUAAGCAAAUUCUUCUAAACUGAUGAACUCAAAAUAUCAUAUCAACUAACAGUCGUCAUAAUGGAAUGAUGGCUAAACAAUAUCCAUCUUUAGGUACCCGAUAUGCGUGUAUGAUGCGACUAUGGACUUUCAAAACCAUGAUAUUGGCUGUCAUUAUGUUAUACAAAUUACAACCUAAACUUUUGCCUAACAAAAUCCUUAUUGGAACUUUCUUCUCUAAAUGGAUCUACAUACACAGAUCUGGCCAAACACUGUGCCCAUGGAUCAAAAUUGGAACCCCUAAAAUUUCUAGUUUCCCUUGACAUUAGCUCCAACUAACAAAACAUGAAAAGGAGAAGGGAAAAAAAAAGAAGCAAGACAGUUUCUUUCAUGAUGCAAUGGAGACCCUGACUCUAGCACCACUCUUCCAGCAAAGCUUCUUCUUCCCCUAUGCUAGAGGCAGCACUGGAGAUCCCACAGUGAGCAUUCCAUUGGCAACAAAGCCAUGAAGGUUGAUCUGGUUGCUGAUAUGAAGGUAAUGCAGAGGUGGAGGCCAUGCCAGCAAGCCUGCCAGAGGCAACGAGGUGGUGAGGGUAGACCUGAUACAUGCCAGCUGAGGAGGAGAGGAAGGCGAGCUUGAGCUCAAGCACAGAUAAAGCAAAGGCCAUCAGACCUUUGUCUAUGCUCUGGGCUGAACAUGCUUCAACAAUGCAGGGUAGCUUGCAGGAGGCACGGACGACGGCAUUGGUGGAGGAGGUGAGGAGGUCUGGGAUCUGGUGGAAGCGAGGGCAGCAUUUCGAGCAGGGUUUCAUUGGUGUAACCUUAGAAUUAUUGUUCCUUUUCUGCUUCUUUAGUUACUUCGCCAUCUAUACAUGAUGCCCGGACUGAAACAUUGAGGGAACCUAUAAUGUCCAUAGCAGUGACCCAAUUAUUUUAUGUUCAACUCCAGCAAUACAUGUCAAAAUGUGAAUGACAUUGAGGGGAUCAAAUAAUAAGCUGCUAAUCAAAAGGUAAAAUAUACCCGAAUUUUAUACUAUAAAUAAGCAUGCAGAGGUAUCGAUUUUACUCUAAAACUUGAACCAGUGAAAAUGAGUCCCACUAUCUUAAUGAAGGAAGAUCUCUCAUUUCCCACAAAACUUGAAGGAUCAAAAUCAAACUUACAUUGCAAAAAAAAAAAAAUUGGUAUAUGAAUCAGUCGUAGAUAAAUUUUAUAAAGAACUCUUCCCAUGGACAUCUAACAAGACAUGAAUUAAAUAUAGCAGUUUUGAAUUAAUUGAGACUACCUUCACUUGAUUCAGUCCCCACUGAAGAUAAGCUUGAGCGGCGCGAAGACAAACUUGAGCGAUGCAACCACCGCUCACUUGAUGCCUUUGGCAAUAUAGGCAAAAUUGGAUGAACCAAAUCAUCAUGGACUCCGUAUAGGUCAUCUCCAAUAACAUCACGCUCCCUGAUCUCAGAUAUCUCCCUUGAUCUUGAUUCAUUCUCCUCGACAGAAGCUAAACUCGAUGCAAUCCAAAACACUUGGCCAGCAGAUGCCAGCUCUUGUCCUGUGCUUUCUCCCAAGGAAGCAUUCCGCUCAGCUGUCCUUGGAGGAGAACCCACUAAUGAGACAUUUGCUUGCAUAUCAGACGUCGAAGAGUCAUGGGAAUUGUAACCUUCUUUACCUGCAUAAUGAAACAUUUUGAUAAAGGAGACAAUACUAAAGAAGUUUACAGUUGUUGAUGGUUCAGAAUUGGAACUAGCUUGCCCUUACCUGCACCAAAUAGAGCUUCAUCAAGUGCUGAAACAUUAGAUUGGGUUUUUUCAAUUGCUGAUGGGCUAGAGUCAUAAACAGGCUCUGCAACUUGACUAUCAUCAAUUUGCUCUGCUUCCCUACUCUGGAUAUCAGAAUUUGCAGUAACUGAUUCACUGGAACCAACAGAAACUGUGGGGGAAAUGCCCCUUGUUUUCUCCAUACUAGCUGCUUGUUCAUUAACGCUUGCUUUGGUACUCUUCACAUUCUCUCCUGAUGAAGUGGAGGAGCCUGACUCAUACUUCUCCUCAAUUACUUCAGCUUUCUCAGCAUCUGAAAUAAUAGCGUUUGGCUCCAAUUCUUCACUGGUUUCCUCUCCAACUUCUCCAAAUACUUCAGCAGCUUGAUGAGCUUCUUCCAUGACCCUGCUGUGAUCAUCACUUGGACUAAUCCCACUCUGUAGUUUUUCGACAUCCACUGAAUCAGCUUCGGAGGAUUGACUUUCUAGCUCACUGUUUUCAGCAUCAUGGUACGCAAUAGAAUCACUCUCUCGGUGAAGUUCUUCUUCUGGUAGCUCUUUAUGAGAUUCCUGCUCAGUAACUAAAGAUAUUGCAUCAGAUUUUGAACUUGACUUCAAGUCACUCUCCUCACUUGAUUCUCUCUGAUCAUCAGCAAAUCCUGUCUCCUCUGUAUCAGUCCUCUCCGCAACAAAAUAGGGUUUGAACCUAAAUGUGUGCCUCUCUUGUGUAAGAUCCCCAAGAAAUAAUGCUCCUGAAGUGAAGCUCUCAUGCCUUCUAAAUAACAUAUCUCGCUGCUGAUUUGUCACAACCUCUUGCUGGCUCAAAUUCUCCACAAUGGAAUUACCAGUUACAUGUGGUUGUUCAUAAGGAAGAUCAAAAGGAUUUUGUCUCGGCAGUAGUCUAGAAGGAGCGGAACCAGGAAUUUCAUCUGCAUCAUAAGGAAGAUCAAAGGGAUUCCUUCUUGGAGCAAAAACAGUUGGAAUCUGAAUCUGAAAGCGAGACAGCUCUUCUAUGCUUGGCAAUGAGUCAUUACUAUCCAAGUCUAUUAAAUUUUUCUCCAUUAACUUUCUUGCUCUUUGCUUUGCAAUUACAUUCUCCAACCUCCGAUUCCUUUCCAGUUCAGAUUUUCCAAGUUCCACAAGAUUCUUCUGAUCAUCUUCUGUCCAUGUUACCACAGGUUUAGUUUCGUCAUCUUUCUCCUGUCCUUCUUCAUCAUCUUCAUCAUCCUGGUUUUCAGCUUCUUCCUCUGCACUACCAUCAUCUGAGAACCCUAUGGAGGCAGCAUCUGAGUUGUCUUUCGAUAGAAGAGCAGGAUGAGGAGCUUCUGAGUCUAAUAAAAGCGGGUGAAGCUCGUCAAGCAUUGGCAUGAUGUCAGACAUAGAAGCAGCAUCAGGAGACGAACUUUCAGCUUGGUCCAAUUCAGAACCUGAAGAAGCAUCAUGAUGAUCAACAUGAUGCCAAGGUGAACCCAAAGAUGAAACAAGGCCAUUGUCUGAAGUAGGCAUAUCAACACCCUUCUUAGGAUCCUUAGCCUUCCUUUGAUUCGAGGUGGUUGCGCUGCCAAUAUCCUUACCUGCUUUUGGUCCACCUGCAGCUAGCUUUUCUGAAGAAGCUUCUUUCUUCUUAGCAAUUCCAUGACCAUGAAUUUUCUUAACUUCGCUCACCUUCUUGCCAUAAUUCUCUUUCUUGUCUUCAUCAACCACAGAUCUUUCAGCCAUGGAACUAUCACCCCUGGCAUAUCUCUCAUUCUGUGCCACUGCCUCACUACCGACACUAGCCCUUCCAUUGCCCAAAGCAGCAUCUCUGACAGCCAUUUCCCUAGUUUCUCUUCUACCUUCCAAAUUGGCUACAGCCCCAACCUUAAGAGGACUAAGCCUCUGAGUCUUCCUAUCCUCCUUUUCGACUUCAGGGAUAUUUGGUUCACCAUAAAUGAGAAUGGUUCCAAGAAGAAUGGCAGUGCAGACAAUGACAGGAGAGGAAGAAACCAGGAAAACAAAUAGAGAAGGAAAAAAGCUAUACAGUAUAAGGACAAAAAACACCAUGCCAAUAAUAAACGGAUGAUCGCAAACAAAUAUGUAACUAGUUCUUCUGAUAUAUACGAUUAUUUCUUUGGCCCCAAAUGCCAUAUCUUCUUUUUACUCUGUAAUUUCUCCUUUACUAAUGUGCUGGCAAUAGAAAGAACAACAAGAUUAGCACCCCACUAGAAGCGAGGAAACGAGAAGUACCACUUCAGCUAAAUCUUUGCAAGGAUAUAAAACUCGGUACUGAUGGCUCAAGUGAAAGUAAAUUCACCAAAAAGAUGUACUAGAAAAACAUGUUAUACUGUCAUAAAACUUAUAACCAGAAACAGACUCCUGUUAAUCUAAGAAACAUUUGGAAGGCAAACCUAAAUGGCUAAAUCAACAAAUCCGUAUAGACUUCAUCAGGGAAUAAUCAAACAAAGAGAUAGCAACACAAGUAUUUUUACUUCAGAAACCCAAAGUAACAGUUUCUCCUUCUCUAUAUCAUUUUUUAUCCAUCAAAGUUCAAAUGCAAUAAAUGAGACAUAUGUCACAGAAAACCAUCAUCAUUAACGAAAGAAAUAAACAAAUUUACUAAUAAAGACAAUUAAAAUAUGAGUACUGGCAGCGCCAUUAUAAGCCCAAAAGCAAGAGGAUUCUCUUAACUAUUUGUUGCCUGUGAAUAUUAGUGCAUAUGGAAUUAUGGAUCGUCAAAACCAUCCUCAAAAAUCUUCAAGGCCCAUGACAAAAAACCAACCAAAGUCGAAUCAUUUUGUGGAAAACUACUUCCAUAUAGUAAACAGAUCUUUUGUUAUCAAAACACGCCCGGAUCAUCAAACAAAUCAAAGGGGAGAAGAAAAGCAAACAAGGUGAGCAUAGGAGCACUCACAUGGAUCAGUAUUCACAGAAAACAAACAUAAUCUCGCUUUUCUUCUGUUCGGUUUCUCAUGUUUUGCUCCGCUUGGAGAAUCGAAACGAAGAAAGAGGAAUAAUAUUUAAAUCAGAAAUAAAUGAAAAUGGGGGGGAGAGAGACCGCAACUCCCUGCGCGUGGAGACGAAACCAGCGUCCACGGCGCGCGAACCGCGGCACCGGAGCGCCCCUGCCCUCUCGAUAAAUAUACCCCGUCGUUUUUUCCCUUCCCCGUUCGCUCGCUCCAAGGACUUGUUUGGCUCACGGAAAAGGAAGAAAAAUAUUCACGAAUAAAAAAAAAGUUAUUUAGUAUUUUUUUAAAAAAUAAAAAACAAUAUUUUUAUAAAAAUAAUUUUUUUAUAUUUUAUAAACAAAAUUAGAAAAGACAUAAUAAAGAUAAUUUUCAAAAUUGAGGUUUUUUUUCUUAAUCUAUCCAAAUAUGUGGGUAACGUCUUUCCCUAUAUUAAAUAUUUCAUACAAGUUUUUCCAAAAAAAGUAGGAGCUCAACUAAAUAUAAACUACUCUGUAAUAUGCCACUGAUCAACCAAAUAUAUCAAAAUUAUAUUUUAGGCAUCAUAUUCUCAAGAAUCUUUUUAGAAAAAAUAUUCUAGUAAAAUUAGAAUCUUUUUACAAAUGCUAUAUCUCUAAUAAUUAGGAUCACUUUCUAUCAGCAACAAUGAAUUAUUAAAAUUAUAUACAAAUGUCGUGCCUCUGAUAGUUAAGAUCAUUAUAGCUUCUUCUUUCUACAAAAGAGUAGAAAAUAUCAAACUUUCUCGCCAACUUUGGAGAUUUCUAGAACACAAAAAUUGUAAUUAGAUGUCAAAUAAAAUGAUUAUAGUCUAACACAGCAACCUAGAUGGUGGUCCCUUCAGAUUCCCCUUGUUCCUUGUUCACGCCCUUUUUGUGUGGGCAAUGGGGUUCUUAUCAUUCAAGAGAGGAGCCAACUAAUUUUUCAUAAAGUUACCGGCUCCGGUAAGGCCGGGGCCUUUACAUGAUAAAUCCCUUAAAAUACUCAAGCUUUUUUUACAGUAACCAUUCAUCGCAAAACAAAGCUAACUAGAAGACAAGCCCACCAGAGCUCGUUUGGUUCGCAAAAAAAUAAAAAUAAAAUAAAAUAAAUAAAAAAAUUAUUUGGUUGGAAUUUUUUUAGAAAAAUAAAAAAUAACACUCCCAUUAAAAAAAUACCCACAUUUUAUGAGAAAAAAAAACUAUGAGAGCCUACUUUCCCACAAAUUGAAAAUUAAGAUUAUUUUUUUUCAAAACUAUUUUUAAGACAUCAAAAUUUAUAAAUAAAAAGAUAAUAGAUAUUUCACACAACUUUUCUACAAAUAUAGAUGAUCAAUCAAACAUAAGCCAUUCUAAAAUGACCACUUUUCUAUUAUCAACCAAACAUACCAAAAUUAUUUUUUUAGUAUUUCUUAAAAUUAGUUUUUAAAAAAAAUAUUCCGAUUAGAAAAAAUUCUUUGUAUGAAACAAACAAAUUUCUAAAGAAAUUGCACGAGUAUGAAGUAGGCUUUAAUGCAUCUUGAUGGUAAAUAGAAAGAAGGAACAGAGAAAAAAAUGAAAGACUUCCAAUAGAUAAGCUUGCUGGCCCUCAUACACUUCAUCUGUCAAACAUUCAGAUCAAAUACGAUAGCUUGCACUUACAAAUGACAACAUGUAGACCCUCCAAGAAUGUACUUGAUCUAUUAGCCAGAUUCAGUCAACAGCUUCAACUCCAAGGCGUAUCAUUUCUGAACAGCCAAGGGCCCCCCUCGACUGCCAAGCAGAGAGUAGAGGAUGCUCAAAAACUUCACACUCAUCCCUCCAAAACCACAGACUAAACACCGGGCAAAUAGACAAUCUAACAUCGUGCUCAUGUUACAUGCACAGUUCCAGUUCUGUGUACAUGUGGCAUCCAUUUGCCUGGUGAGGACUGAGGAGUUAGGCACAGGAGAGAGCAACAUAAUUAGAAGAUUUACAAUGUCAGAGCAAGAUAUGAUCAACAAAACAAAGCAAGAAGAAAUUCCAUAUAGACAGGACAAUGUAAUGAUACAGAUUUGGUAGUGAACAAAACACCCUCAAGCCUGUACACAUUCUCAGGCUUGCAUCAUCGUAUUUGUGGAGGAGCUGGGCUCAUAACCAUGCACUCUAAAGCGGUAGAUGCAUGUCAGAGAAGAGCUCCCAUGGUUGGAGGAGAAAUCAAGCCGGACCAUAUUCACGACUGCUGAAUAGAUUGUCUCGACAUUAAAGGUCUGAGCGUUGCUCUUCUCGAGGUCAUAAGUGAACUCUGUCAAAAGAAGCAUCUUCUUGGAUCGGUCAGAUGGGUUAUCAUCAGGCCCUUCAAACCAUGCAGAGACCCGACAAUCCUUUGGAGCACUAGUCCUGUCAAAAGCCACACUCUGCACAUUAUAGAUCCAGACAGAUACGUUAGUGACUGCUCAAACAAAAAUCAAGUUCCAAAGAGAAUUGAAGAAAACCAGCAAAAACAAUUAACUUCAUGCAGCUAAAUAGAGGGUCUAUUCAUCUGCAUUAUAGGACUAUAGUCCUAAUUAGAUUAGGACUAUAUAGACUGCCUCUUCUAAAACUGAAUAUAGGUUUUCUUCAGACCAAUCAUGGAAGGUCAUCGUUGAAAGAACUUGUGUAAAAGCAGCCCUACCCGACUUACAUUCUCUAACUAUUCCCUUUUCACCUCUCAAAUUCUCAGUCAAACAAAUAUAAAUGAUCUCAAAAUCUCUGUCCAUACCCAUAUUCUUAAGUCAACCUAAUAGAUUUCAAAAUGCAAAAGAAAACUGAAUUAGAUAUCUGCCUUUAAUUUCAAUCUUAAUAAAGGUAACUAAAGCAAAACUGAUGUAUCAUGCAGCAGCUGUCACAUUAUGAAGUUCAAUAAGAAGACACAUAAAAAGUGUCCGCAGAUAAACCUGAAUCUUUAUCCGAUGCUUUUGCAGCAUAUUUGGAGUCUGCAGUACAUUUAAGAAUUUUCAACAACUUCAGCUUUCAAUUGAGAUCAAAUUGAUGUGACCUAAAACAAGUCAUUGCUGAAGCUAGCAGCUUCUGAUUUCUGGGAAUUCACAUCAAAAGAAGAAAAUGGCAUGAUGAUCCUAUGUGAUGUUUCUAUCAAACUCCAAAUCAACAUUCACAAAAUAAAAUAGAAAACUGGGAAAAGAUUUAGCCACUUUAUGAGGGAAUUGCUAGGAUAAGAAGAUGAAGGAAAAGAUAAUGAGGUGUUGCAGUGUUCGGCCAAACAGCCUGGCUUAUGUCUUCCUCAUUAUUGGAGUCAAGCACUGAGCAUAAAGCUGGAUGCUAUAUAACUGUCCUCUGGAGAGAGGAAGACAGAACAGAAGAACAAUCAGCUGAAAGGAGAUAUACAACAUUUAAUUAAUUCAGUAAUCAAAAAAAAAACUCAAAAUCCAAUCCAGUCGUCUAUAAAGAUCACAAAACCACCCCAUAAACCCAAUCAUAGUAACCCCACUACUUCCUAACCUAACCUACAAGCUAAAUGAGAUUUUUGUUAAUUGACACAAAAGGCAAGCCAAGAAACAAAAACUACAACUUCUAAUCCUUAGAAACUAAAGUCCUUUAUAUGAGGACUACUAAAAACAAGCACAAUUUUCUAAGAUUUCUUCUUUCAUUUCUUUUUGGAUGACCUUUAUCAUUACAAAAACCAUUAGGGAAAAUAUAUAAUUGAUACAACAUGCUUUAUAACACCAAUAUAAGACAAAAUCUAUUGUCCAAAGAUUUAAUGAGGUGAUGCCUUAGGCCAUCCUGCAGCCCUGACAGCAAUGAAAACAGCGCUAGAAUCAGAGAGGAUACAAGUAUGGUUCGAAUGAUACUGCAGAUGCAUUCUACUGAAAAAGAUAUUACAACCACAGCAUAUAAUUGAGAUGAUCAAGAUAAAAACACAAUUUGUAAAGAGAUAUAUCAAGUGUUUGAUGGGGGGAAAAAUAGAAUACAUUCUAACCAUACAAUGUGGAAGGGCAUGAUUACAACCAAGGGUGGAGUGAAACUCGAUAGUUCCAAAUAUCCUUCUUAACAUAAGAAUUACACCAAGUAUGAACACCCAAACAAUUUGAAAAGACAGGACAAAAAAAGAAGAACACCAUAUUUUCCUUGGCAAAUAUGUCGGUCAAUUUUAUCAUAAAUAAAACAAGCAUAAGAUGACUCGAUUCUAUGAAGUAUCAACCUAGUCUUGGAAUGUUCUGGGAUACUAUAGCAUACUUCAGUCUUAGCUGAUGGCAUAAGGUUAAACAGCAGAACCAAUCCCCUCACACUUGCCUUGUACUAAAGAGAAUUAAAAAGUACAAAGAUGGGAAAAUAAAAAAGCAAAAUGUGUAUCCCAAGCAUUUUCAAAUAAAAUUAAAGCGCUACAAACUAGAUUAUUUACUUCAAAAUGAAACAUUAGCACGUCAAUCCAAAAUAUCAUAACUUAUAAUAACCACAAAUAAACAAUAAUUCUGCAAAAUUCCAUAUUUCCUAUCAUAUUGGAUGAGGCCACUACCAAGACUCUUUACCAAAUCUCUGAUGCUUACAAGAUGAUUGGAGAAUAGAUAGAAUACUCAUAAAGACAUAUCCGCUCAACAGAUACCAAGAUAAACACAAGUAUCGAUCAGACGCUAGAUCUGCACGACAUCUGUUUUAGAUGCAUAUAUCAAAAAUUUUUUGUAUGUAAAAAACAUAUAAGGAUACAGAUAUGACAUCACAAACAUGAUGGGAUAUAUAAAUAGAACUUACUAAAACAUAGACAUGUUACUAAGAUAAGAUCACCAUUUUAAUAUAUUACAUAUAUCUAUAUCUAAUAUAUGUACUUGUAUCCAGUCAACUAUAUCAAUGUCCAGAUAUCCAUAUCUACAUCCAAACUAGCAAAUCAGCACAUGCAAUGUAUAUUGCACAAAAGAAAAUAUACAAAACUUAUAUAGAAUAGGUAAAAAAUGUCAACCUAAAACACAUAACAGGAAGCAAAAAAUAAAAUAGCAUCCACUAAAACCAAAAGCAAGAACAAAACAAAAAUAAAGUGACAAACAACAUAAACUUAAAAUACAAACCUACAAUAAGUCAAAAAUAUUAGGCAAAAACAAAAUAAGUAAAAUAAUAAGAACGACAAGAGACUUGGAUGGAUGAGCAUGAUCUCAUCAACUUUUGGUAUCAUAAUCAUAAGAAACUUCUACCUUGGCUUAUGUAUCCACUUUGUAAAACUCCAGAAACAUGAGCCCUCACCCACAUCCUGAGCACUUCCCGAAGUAACUUUAGAGUACUUGCUUCCAAACAUCCCAGCACAUACCCACUCUCACACCCACUCCCAAUUCCAGCAACCAAGGCUGAAAUAUUAGGAAUUUCUUAGCUAUUUGAUAUUUAUAUAAAUUGUUAAAUGCACCCGAACUCUUGGUUGACUUACCUUUCUUGCUUCUCUCAUUAGAGAAAAGGUGGGACAUCAAGGGGAAGUACACAUUAUAUCAAAAAAUAAGCAUAUAUAAGAUACUGUUUUUCCCAAACCCCCAUUAAUGGGGAUACACCUCAUGUAGGAUCAACAAACAAUAGUCAGUAACACACCUUCAUGUCUGCCUGCAAGCUUUGAAAUUUAAACUAGUUAGACAGUAUCCAGGUUUUAAAUAAUGGUCAAAAUAAUACUGUAGCAGUCACUAUUUUGGUUUCGAGAUCCUCUCAUUAUGAUACCUAUACUGUUAUAUGAAGAAAAUUCCCCAGAUGUCAGCAUCAUCCAAACUAGAUAUUCCAUCAUAUUUCACUUGAUGUCUCACAUGAGAGAGGAAAACACAAGAAUAGGAAGUAGGUUUUAAAUAAAGUGUCCAAAGAAAGGAAAAAAAAAGGUACACUGCAUUUCAAAUAGAAGUCCAACCAUCAAAAGACCUAACACAUCAUAAACCCAAGUCCCACAUACACUCAAAUUAAAUGUCUACAGAUGGUAAUAUAUACUAAAAUGGACAGCAUAGAUUUGCAGUUUAUCUUGAUUGAUGGGAUCACAACCAUUCAUCAAAUGCUCCUUAUUGAAUAAACCACAUGAAUAGCACAUGCCUAGAUUAGCAUAGAUCAGGUAUUCAAAUAAUGCAGUCAUCUGCCAUUUUCUUGUUCUAACAGCCAUUUUAUAACAGGAAUAGUGGUCUUUAUUUAACUACUCUAUAUUCAUCAAAUUAGAUAAUAAGAUAAAUUCAUAUUCAAGUGUCAAUUCAAAUGAAAGGGUCUUAGAACAAUAACUCAAGAAAAAAAUGUUGUUUAUUCUUCCCAUUACCAUUCCUUAUGUUUGCCUUUAUUGUCUAUAAAGGCUGGUAUAGCAACCAUUAGCUGUUUCCCAAAAACAAAUCCAAGUAGCAAUUGAUUAAGCAAAUAAUGACUAGGAUACCAAAGAUUCAAAAAGACCCCACUAUCAAACCAAGGGUUGAAGUACAGGUACCAAUACAUUAUUGGUAUGUUAUGGUACCCUGCUGGCAAACAGUAUGCUUAACAGUAUGGUAUUUGAAAUAGCUCAUGCGCACCAUACUUAAGUCCUUCAUUGAAACUUGUUAGACAAGGGAGAGUUGCAAGGCAUUAACCAAUAUGUGUGAAAGAGAUGAUAGAAAAGGAUGUCAUAGAAACAGAAAAGGAGAAAAUUGGUAUAAAAAAAAAAAAGCGUCAGGUGGGAGCUGGAUCCUUUUUUAUUGUUGUUUGGUGAUCGGCUGGCACGAUGUGGCCCCCAUUAUGUGAGCCAGUCAAUCUAUGACCAAAAAGGAGGCCGCACUGCACAACCACUUAGAAACCUAAGUUGAUGGGAUUGUGUAUUACACCUCAGUUCUGAAAUUUGAUUGGAACCAUAAACUAUAAAUAGUGAUACCUUCUGUUAUAUCGAUGGUCACAUGAUUUGAUUGAGAUACUUUGUGUUACCUUGGUCGUUUCUGAUUUGAUUGACCAGCACUGUAUGGCUUAAGCCAAUUAGGCUACAACACAAAGUUGGCAACAUCGCAUGACCACAAAUAUCUUGUAACUUGUGGGAUGGAGGAAAAUCUCUAUUACACCUUGAUUUCAUGAUUUGGUAAGACAUAUAAAUUGGGACUCUCCAUAAUCACAGAAAAUAGACUACCCUGUUAUGCAAAGAGAAGGGCUGAUAUUGAGUACCCAACCUUUUGAUGCCUCUUGUGGCCAUGCCAUGGGACACUGGCUCCUGAACUAAUGGACAUGGAAAUGUGAGAAAAUUGUCUCGUUUUACUUGCUUAACAAAAUUUAUGAGAGCUAAAAUACUCUCUUGCUGGCAGAUCUGUCUCAAAACUCCCAAACAAAACCCACUGCCCUCUCCCUCUCUGCUUCCUUCUUGCCAAGCCAGUGCGAAGCUUCGUGUGUUGCAACGUCCAUGGAUUCAGGUGCCUCCUUCAUCAGUUCCCUCCAUAUGGUUUUCUUUAUUACGAGCCUGAACUACAUUAGCUCAUUGGUUGUCAUGGCCUGCCUCUUUGCCUAAGUGCCAUCUAAACCCUUGUUACCAACCCUACCAACAUCACUAACAUAUGCCACAUGGUUGACAGCAUCCCUGCUCUCGGCCUUACACUCUCCCUCAUCAUCUCCUUUUCCAAUCCUAUUCCAUUAUAAGCCUCACCCUUCGUUAGCACCUCUUCCACCCAACUCACCACUCCUCCUCAACCACUGCCGGAUGCACUCAUCUCAUACCGUGUCACGUAGACUACCAAGUACCAAACUGCUUACUUGUACAUCCCCCACCUCAUCUUCCACAUAGCCAGUGCAUUAUCCUCUUAAAGAGGCAACAAAAGAAUAUUUCUCAUUUUCUGUUUUAACCUUAAAUGAGAAUUUGUUUGACAAACUUUGAAUUAGGACACUAAGAAGAAAGAAACAUCAGAAGGACCUAAGCCAUUUUCAUGCCUUACCACAAAGUGAUCCACCACUAAAAAUAAAAUACAAAAUCUACAGAGCUUGGAAGAAACCAGAACCACCAACCUUUUUCCAUAUAAAUUCAGCCAUUCACUAAAGCUAGGGUGUCUAGACAGCACAUCAGCAAGCAUCUCAAGAACUUCCUUCUUGAUCUUACUCUCUUGGAAGUAGUGCCCCACCUCCACCUUGGUCUGAUCCUUAGGCACCCAUUAUUCCUUCCUGGACACCAGCUUCUCCAUCAUCUCCUUUGCACUCCACGAAUGCCCUCUUGUUAUUUUGGCCAUUAUAUAAUGUAUACCCAAGUACUUAUAGUGGCUUGCCGCCUCAGCAGGAAAUCCCUCUACUUUGAAGUCCCUCUACUUUGCACAAGACAGAGGUGGAGAAAGAGAUAAGGCAUUGACGGGAAGGCAUAUUAAGGAACCUAAAGAAGUCAAGGGUUUAAGGGGAACUGAGGAGUACUCUUGUCCUAUUAAACUUUAUUAGCCAAAGAAUAUCAAAUAAUCAGCUUGUAUUCCCAUCGCCGUUUUUUCUAGGAACUGGCCCCAAUUGCAUGGCUUGGCCACGAGGCAUGGAAGACUAGGCAUCACACCCUACCCUUCCUUUAUUUCUUACAAUAAAGUUCACUUAACAAAAUUUUAUGGUUUUCUUAGAAAUAAAAUUUGGAUGAUAGAAUCUUUUUGAAAAUUCAACUCUCACUUUUUUAACAUAAUUCCAAAUUUCCAAUGAUACAUCCACAUAACCAUAUUUGAUCAAAUAAUGUAUAUGUAUUUGCAUAAGGGAGUACAUGAGCUUUAUGUACAUAUUUAUGCAUGCAUAAACAUAAGCACUACAUGGCUAAUCCUAAAUAUGGGAAAGAGUGUCUAGAUUCAGCUGUACUUACAUGGCUAAUCCUCAAUAUGGGAAGGAGUUUCUAGAUUCUGCUGUACUUCCAAACCAUCAACCAGUCCUAUUGCCCUUGUUCAAGUGAGAGCUAACUUGAGUUUAAACAAACAUCGAUAGCAUGAUAACAAAAAAAGUUAUAGGACUACGACAAACCAUUGUUUAUGGUCAUCUGAUGCAUAGACAUGGACAAAUAAUACAAUACAACAAAUACGGUAAAUUUUGAUAAAGUGGAAUACUGAUACAAUACGGAUAUGAAAUUUAAAUAAUUAUUUUUUAAGCAUAUAUAGCUUCAGUACUAGUACAUGUACCAAGCAAAAGCUAUAAUAAAUUACAUUAAUCUAGAUCUUCUCCAGUCUCCUUCCAUGGACUUUGCUUAUCUUUUGGUUAUGAACAUCAUAGUGAAGGACAAAGGAGGUUUUAAUUAUAUUAACAAAACAAACCUGAAACCUAUAAUCUGACAGGCUCCAGCUUUAUCCUACACACACCAUGGGAGCAUCUAGAGCCUAGUGUUGCACGGACAUAGACAGAAGAAUCAGAUUUUAACCUGUCCAAGUGUUUGACUUGGCAAGAGGAAAAGAAGGAACUACAGGGAUACAUAGAAAAAAAAAUUAACCUAUUUUAUACUUAAAUAUUAUAUAGAGGAAAACAUUAGAAUAUAUUAUUUGUUAAAGCCUUCCAACAUGCAUGUUUGUCAUCCAAUCUUCUUAAUUAAACUUCAAAAAAUGACAAUAAAAAAAACUAAUUGGAAACAUUACUUAGUAGGCUGAACUCAUGAUAGGAAAAAUCCAAGCUUUUGCCAGUUUUUAAACAGUGCAAUUAAAAAAAUUGAAGUAUGCAUGUCUAAUUCAGGCAUGCAUGGAACAUAAAUUCUAGAAGCUAUGCACAAGUGUCUAGGAAACAUAUCCCUGCCAUAUCCAAUAUACCUUUUUUAAGAAUAAAUGGACAUGUAAUGCAUUGUUUGCAAGGUAUAUCAAUAACCGAUCUUAUCAAAUAUGACCAUGAAGUAUUCAUUCUUCACAGACGAUCAACUACACCAGCAUAGGUCAUGGCAAGGUUAAUUUUUUUUAAGUGUCCCCUCCAAUUAAAUCUAAAAAAUAAAAGGUUAAUGUAGUUACUUUUGUUGCCUACAGGAACAUAAUAUACAAUCAACAAAGGUUCCCUCUUUGAAAGGUUGUUCCUCGUCAAAUUUUACCCAACCAUAUGUCCAAUCAACUCUUGUUAAAGUGCACCAGGUACAUCAACCUAUGAUUUGGACAUGAAGGACCUUGCCAUGUCCCAAGGAUAUAAGCACUCCAAUGUAACAUAAGCAUUGACUCUGAGAUCAAAUGGUGAUGACAAUCUUGAUGAAUCUAUCCUUCUUUGAUCUUAUUUAAUGAUUAUUACUUCCAUCAGGUUUACAUUCUAAGUAUUCUUCUAGCAACAUCAUAUGACUCCAUAGAAACAUAUAAUGAUUCAAUUACUUCAUCGAACCAGUCUCCAGAUUGGGGGAAAAAUUACUUACUACUCUUUCAUACUUCUUUAUGCAAUUUCCUCCCUUGCUUGCAUCGAUUCAUCAACCACCAACACAACCCUAUCCUUGACUAAUGAUUUUUCGUAUUUUCCCUUUUAAAUCCUUAGCAUCCCUUGUGCAUAGUUAGAAUAGCAAUAUAAAAAAUCUCGUUUCAGGUCUAAAUAAAUUUUUCUUAUAGUUUCCUGUAUAGACUUGAUUUCUUAAAUUCCAAUUUCGGAAUACAAAUAAAGCUCGUUUGGUUUGCGGGAAAAGAAGGGAGAAAAGUGUGGUCAACGGGAAAGUAAUGAGAUGCCUCUUGUUUGGUUCGAGUUUUCCAAGGAGAGAGAUGGAAAAGUUGUAUUCCCAUAGGAAUAUGAUUCCCACAUGUCAUGGAAAAGUCAUUCCCAUGAAAAACAUGAGAAAGUUACUUUCCCAUGAGACAAGAAUCACUCUAUUUUUAUUUUUUCCAAAAAAGCCCUUUAGCAUUAAAGAGGCAUUAAAGACCUAAUUUUUAUUAAGGGUAUAAUAGAAUAUACACAUAACUUUCUCAGAAAAGUGAAUGGUCAACCAAACAUAAGCACUCUAAAAAUCUGUCAUUUUUCCAUGGUCAACCAAAUAUGCCAAAAGUAUCUUCCCAAGCAUCCUCUUUCUAGGAAUCUGCUUCUCAGGGAUCAUAUUCCUAGGAGGAUAAAUGCUUCCCGCGAACCAAACGAGCCCAUAAUAAUUAACCCUAAUCAGCAUACAAGAAAUCUCUCCUUCACUAAACAACAUAAACUAUCUCCAAUGUUAAUGGUUAAGUUACUAUUUAAAAUUUAUGCCCCUGAAGGAACAAUAUUACUGACUGAUCAUUAACCAAUUCCACAAUAUUUCAUGGCAUGAAUAUUUAUUAGGUCAUCAAAAAAAUAUCCGCCCAAGUGUCUUUUCACCUCAAGUAAAGAUGCGCUUCUUUCAAGUUCCAGCUCCAAUGGUCAAGUAUCACUGAAAGAAUUAAAUACAAUGCUUACGCUUAAAAACCAGCUCCUCUUUUACUUUUAUGAAGAUAAAAACUUUUAAAGAUUCCAAUAAUUUCCUUUUCUGCCAUUCAUUGAACUCUACCUUUUGGCCUCAAACUCAUUAUAAUUGUUGCAUACACUUCUAUGAUUAGUCAAUGCAUAAAAAAAUGUGUUGUUAAAUUCUAAAUUCUUCUUUCAACAAACUAUUUUAGACCCUCGUAUAGAAGCCAAUUGCCCCUUCUCAUUCUAUUCUCUGCAUCAUCUUAUCAAUUUCAAUCCUCUCUAUUCUUACAUAUCCUUAAAUCUUCUACCAAGAAUUUCAGAUUCAAGCAAGGCUCUCUCCCACAACCAAAACCAGAGAACUUCUACUUCUGAAUUGUAAGUGUUCCUUUUGCAUAUUUCAUAUACUCUACAAAAAUUAUGUUUCCAAUGUGAUUAUCACCAACUUAAUUUUGUGCUCCAAAUCCUUGCUUCCUCAAGUUUCAAUGUUCUCUUUUCUACCUAUUCUUUCAGUAAACCACGUUAGACCUUUGUCUUGAAGCCAAUUGCCCUUUCUCACUCCAUUCCCUGCAUCAUAUAUCAACUGCAAUCCUCUCUCUCUCUCUCUCUAUUCUUAUAUANNNNNNNNNNNNNNNNNNNNUCUCUCUCUCUCUCUCUAUUCUUAUAUAUCUUAACUCUUGCACAAAGAAUUUCAGAUUUAAGUAAAGUGCUUCUUUAUAAACUAGAACUCUUCUCGCUUCUCUAUUUUUUUUUGGUUGAACAGUUCAUAUAUUUUACAAACAUAGUUUGCAAUGUUACCACCACCUCACUUUUGUGCCCAGAAUUCCUCAAUUAUCUCUUCAAGUUUCACAUAUUUGAGCACACUAGUUAAAAUCUAAAACAAUUUUGGAUCUGGAUGGGAAGAGGGUGUGAUAGAUGAAAUAUCUUGGUAAAUCUUUCUUUAGCUAAAGUGAAAAGGAGACUUCCAUUCAUGUAAACUUUUCACCAUGUGAUCAUAUUAAAAUCAAAUAAAUCUUCAUGCUUUGCCCAAUAUGACGUUGUAUUUUUCCAACUCUCCAAUCAGAUUAAAGCACCUUCUAUGCAACAUGAAAUUACUGAAAUUUUCAAUCAGAUUUUGGGCUCUUGAUUCUGCGGGAUUAUUUGGUUUCAUAAAUAAAUGAUUCUUUCCCGUCAACAAUGAAGUCAUAAAAAUCACUCUUUCUGUCAACAAUCAACAUUUUAACUACCAACAGAAAGACGUUAUAGUCGAAAAGAACCAGCCUCUGUUGUUGGUACUAUGAUCACUGAUGAAUGAUGAUGUUAAAGAUUUCUUAGAGUUAUUAGAAAAGCAAUUCCUACAGGGCUGAUAAUUAAUGCGGUAAUGUACUUCAAGUGCAUAAUAUUGUAAAUAAUAAUAAAAAAACCUUCUCAUUAUUCUUAUUCCCAAGGGUUUGUCAUGUACCAGUACCAAUAGCAGUAGGCAUUUACUGUCAUAGACAUGGACAGACUCUCUCACUAUCAAGCUUAUUUUCUGACAUAACAACCACAGUGUUGGAAUGCAACCCAUACUAGUAAUGAUAGGCUGUUUGAUUGUGAAUUCUUGACUACUCAUCACUGUAAGGUCAGAUGUAACAUGGUGAUAGGCUGAUAGCAUCCAAACUAUGAAAUAAAUGUACAUGCUCCAACUAUUCUGGAGGUCCUAAUUUAGUAAGCAAAACCAAACAGGAGGCAAAAUUAUCUACUUCAACCUCAUUUCAUCUGAAAAUGUUCAUCUUGUAGAAUGACAUAGAAGUAGGUAGAGGGAUAUUAAAAGAAAAAAGGAUGAAAAGUAUGUAAUUGCAAUAAACAUAGUAGGAUCAAAAAAAUCACCUUAGAGACAUGCUCUAACGUAACAGCCUCAGGGAUUAUCCCUGUUCUUAGCCUGAUCUCAACAAACCCACUGCUUCCUUGCAAGGCAAAACACUGGCCAGGCUCUCCAAAACUUGGCUCUAGCAUUUUUUGAGCAUUAGGUUGAACUCCAUUUCGACCUUUGCCAAUAGCAAGCCAGUUGCUAGACUUCCCCAAAAUAUAGGGCUCUGAAUGUCUAACCACCCUUGCCCCACCAGAAGCCAAUGCAUAAUCCACCCUUCCUAACCCAUCAGAUGCAUGCUUUUCAAUCUCCUUCUCAACAAUCUCCUUUGCAACAUUCAUAAUAUCAUCCAAACUCAGAUCCCGAUCACUACCAUCAGAACUUCUUCUCUUGUUCAGUUCACUCAAGAAACCCUCAAAUUCUUCCUUUGACAAGAAGCCUGUGUCCCUCAACUCUCUAACAGACUUAUCUAAGUUGUCUGUUCUGCGCUCCAGAGUCUUCAAUUCCUUCUCCAACAGUGCAUGUUUCUCUUCUAUUUGCUUCUUCAAAUCCCUUGUCACCGUCCCUGCCUCACUCCCUACCUUUCUGUCCACAACUUCCACCUGAACCUGCAACAUCUUUGCUGUUUUCUUCAAAGAUGCCUCCACUUCUGAUAACCUGCCCUCAUACUCUAAAGCAGCAAAUGGGGAAUCCCUAUUAUAUGAAAGCAUGUCAUACCAUUUCCAAAUCAACAGCCCCAGCCACAAAAGAACCCCAAGAAGAAGACAGGUCUUUAUCAGGAUUCCAAGGAGAAGUUGCCCCUUGGGUUUCUCUGGUUUCGAUAUGCCUUUCUUACGCCGUGAAGCAAUGUUGGGAGAAACUAAUCCUUUCUUCACCUCUAACAAGUCUUUUGGUCUCUCAAGUACGGAUUCCCCCCUUAUGGUAUGACUCAAAUCCUUCUCACAGACAGUCACCUUAUCAUUGCUGACCCCAUUAAUUCCUCCUAGGACCAUUUCGGUACUUGAUUUCUUGUUUGUGAUGGCAACUGCUCUUCUCCUUAUGUCUUGUUUGGAGUUGGAAUCCAAGGUCAAAGGAGUUUUGGCAUUGGCUGCCGAACUCGGAUUUGCAGCAGUUGAUGCAGACAUUCUUGUGCUUCAAAUGCUUCUGAUCUUCCCAAGCAAAUGGCCUGAUCUAAGACUGAAAUAAAGUACCUAGAGAUCAUACAAACAACAACCGAUAUAAUACUCCAGAUAAGAGAUAUAGAACCUAAUUAAAAAAGUAUGAAAAAAAUUAUCAAAUAGAACGAAAAGAAAAGAUUUGAAUGCUAGGCACCAAAGAAAUUCCUUACAGUGUCACCAAAGAAGAGAUUCUACAAACAAGAACCAACUUAAGACCCCCGAUAUGAGAUAGAAAAAACCAAUUCAAUCGUAACAAAUAAAUAAAAAGAAAAAAAAUUGAAUUCUCGGGAAAGGUUAAGUCCUUACAGUGUUCAGCAAAGCAAAGAAGAGUCUUCUAAACAAUGCCAUCCAAAAAUAUAAACAAAAAAAAUUCAAGAGUUACCCGAAUGCGCCAUAAUUUGCAAAUAUAAACUCCAAAUAGAUUUGCAGCAGUGAACACGGCUCAAAGCAGAAAUUUUCAAGAAAGCAUUUAAUUUAAAAAAACCCUAAUCCCAGAAAAGCCCAACAAAUUCAAAGAAGCAGCAAGAAUAAGCACAAGAAAAACUACACGAAUUUUCAAAACAACACGAUAAACACAUUAACCAAGCUCGACGGCCAAAGAACUACUGAAAGACCUUCGGUGACUACAACGAAGAAAAUAAUACGAAAUCGAAACCCUAAAGUUCGAAAAAAGAACGAAAAAUCCCCCAAACUGGAUCAGGCAAAAAGCCAGAACCAAUCCAAGAAAGGAUCGAGAGAGCGCAGGAGACGCAUACCGUACGCCGUCUUGGAUUCCGUGCGCCGGCGAGAAGCGGCUUGAGCGCCAACGGAGAUUUUUAAUAUUCUCCCUUUUUUUUGAAAAAAGAAAGAAAGAGAGAGGAGAAAAAGGGGGGCAGUCGGCCAGAUCAGGAGGGCAGAGAGAUUUUUUUUUUUUUUCUUUUGAUUUAAAGGUCGGUUGUAAGCGGGGUUGAAGUUGAACGCCGAGUGGGGGGGGGGGGGGGUUGGGGAGGUGGGGGCUGAAAAGCUUGACGGUUUGCGAGCGCGAGAGGGAGGAGGAUCCCUUAACGCCGUUACUCGCCGUUACUCUUGUCUCUAGUGGCGCAAAUAACGGCUGUCACUCGUGCAGGCGGAAUAUCUUAUUAAAUUUGAUAAAAUAAAAAUAUACAUAUUUGACAAAAUUACCGCAUGUGGGUAUUUGAUGAGACUUGAGAGUGGUUAAUUGGUGGCAUUUUCGAUUUUCUAAUUAAAAAAUAUUAUUGUUGAGUUUUUAACUCGUUAUAGUGAAAGUUAAUAUUGUUAUUUGAAAAAAAAUAUUUAUAAAUUAUGGUCUCAUCCGGAGAAGUAGGAUUCGGUGGCAAAACUAGAGAAGAAGGAUAUUACUUAGGAUCUAUCAAAUCUCAUAAUCUCGAAAAAUCAAAAAUUAUAUAAUUUAAUUGAGAGAUAUUUUGCACCGCAAAGUGUUAUGUAUAUCUAUGUUUUUUUUGGUAGGAUAUUUAUUUGGAUACUUUGGUAGAGAAGAAUAUAAAGAAAUAGAAUAAACUGAAAAAUGAGGAAGGCCGAACAAGGAACCAAAAGGAGGUGGAUUAUUGAAACGAGAUUGCUAUAGAUAUUUUUUUUAAAAAAAAUCUCACUUCAUAUGAUUAAAAACAUAUGCCUUGGAGAAUAGAUACUUGCAAUAAUUAUCAAACCUAUCUCUAAUUAUAUUAUAUUACAAUAUAUUACAGAAUAACAUGAUAUUAUAAUAUGAUGCAAUAUUAAAAUAAUCAUACAUAUUGUUUAUUAUAAUAUUGCUUUAUAUUUUUUUGCUACAUUAUUAUAAUAUGUUAUAGUGCAAUAUACUAUUAUAUUAUGAUGCAAUUAAAAUACCUUAGUAUGUUUAUUUGUUAUGAAAUGGUCCAAGAACAACGCAAUUUGCAGGAGCAAAUUCAUCCAUUUCGUCAAAAAAAUUAUCUUCUCUUCUUAAUCUUAAGACAACAUUUUCCAAGCAAGACCAAAAUAACAAAACCGCAGUCAUUAUUUAGGAACAAUAAAAUUUCACCCAAACAGAAUUUAGCUGUUGCCAGUUGCCAUUUCUAAAUCUAGCAUGAGUUGGGCCUACCGAAUUUGAUAGCUCUUUGAUCUCAAAAAGCCCAUGUCGUUUCCAAAGACGUGAAGCGUGGAGCCACGUAGACCGCCUGCCUUUCGCAUUCACCGGCGGUACGAAGCUAACCGCUCCGUUUGUGUGCUCUCUCGAUGGAGGCGCCGAGAAAGAGCGGCAAACGCGGGAUUAGUUACCCACCUAGUGGCGCCGAUUCCGCCACAACCUCAAAACCCGAGAAAAAUCGUGUCUUUUGGUUCCCAAAUCCCGCAUAAAUACGAAUCCAAAACAAUCCCCAAGUUUCGUUCCCCUUGGCCUCUCUCCGCCGCCUCCGCCCGCCGUCGCGGCCGCUGCAUUGCGGUUCUCCAGGGUUUCGAUUCCAUGGGAGGGGAAUCUAGGGUUUCCGAUGAGGUCCUGGGCACCGCCGUCCCGAUCGGCGUCUACUGGCUCUACUCGGGCCUCUACUGCCUCCUCCAUCGCCUUGAUUGUUUCCGGAUGCACUCUCGGAAGGAGGAGGCCGCCAAGAACUCCAUCUCCAAGGCCACCGUCGUCAGGGGGGUCCUCCUUCAGCAGUCGAUCCAGGCCACCGUCUCUCUUGCCCUCUUCGCGGUGAGCCCCUCUCGGAUCUCUUCCUUUUUUUUCCUCGAUUUUUUUUAGAGUUUGACAGUUGGGUGUAUAUUGUUGACGUGAUAUCUUUCUUUAAUCAAAAGAUAUUAUUGGUGGAUUUUGUUGUUGGCAUAACCUCUGAGUGGUAGGUCGUGCCAAAAGUUGGAUUUUUUUGGCUUCAUUUGAUUUAUGCAGAAUUUAGGGCUCUUGACUACCUUAUUUUAAAAUGCUGUUCUUGUAGAAGCUUGGAUUCAUUUUGAUUGCUUGCUGUUUUUUGUUUGUAAACUUUGAUUCGAUUAGGUUGUGUUCAGUUAUUUAUUUACUUCUGUUGAGAGAUUGUAAAUAUUCUGUCGAUCUGUCUCCCAAUGACAGUUGGUUGAUUAUAUACCACUUGGUGUCACUGAUGGCUUUUGUUAAAAUUGUGGUCUGGUUUCGCAAGUUAGGGUUCUGAAUUUGUGAUGCAAACUGAUUGUAGAUGGCUUUGGUGCUAGACUGAGCUAUUUAUUCAUACAAGUACUGGAGUUCCUUGAUAUAAUUUGUUGCCUAUGUUAAUUUGAUGACUUUUUGUGGCCACCAUAGACAAUAAUACAUAUAUGUGCAUUAAACUUGUUUUUGUAUGCUGUAUUAAAUAUUUAGCUAUCUCAAGGGGGGACAUAGAGGGAGAAGAGGACAUGAGAGUGGUUAAAAUAAUCCUGAAGUUAUUGACACCCACUAAUUUCGUGGCACAUGGACCAGGCAAACACAUAACUGCAUCGUAAAUUCGGAGUGUUGUUAUUUUUUGACAUGUUUCUGAAGCUCUUUAUAUAGCUUGUUAGUUUUCUCAGCGAACAAGAUCGGUGAAUAUGUUGGUGAGACUGACUGCGUAACUGUCUUCAACAGUAUCCACAGAACCCUAGAGCCCCAAAGUGGGCAGGUCUAGUGGGAGGAAAUUUAUGACGAUGCCAAUAUUUUUGUUAAACUUUUUGUUUUUCUGGUUUUGUUUCCUUGUUUAUUAUAAUGUCUGAUAUUAUUGGAAGGGUGUAUAGCAAAACUGGCAUAGUCUUUUUUGAUAAGAAGUGCUGAUUUAGUUUGAAAAUUGAAAAGUAUAAGGAGAGCAAAAAAAUUAAGGAGCGAGGAAAGAGAAGAAGAAAAUUUGCUUUAGAAAUCCAGCAGAGGAAAAGAAAUAACUUAGAAUUUAUCUAACUAAAAUGUUCAUAAAUUGAAAAUAUGUGAAGAAAUUCAACUUUAAAUGUUAUGAGUAUAAGUUUCUACUAUAGUAGAUUAUUUGGGGCAAGCUAGUACUGUUACCGAACCCUUUUCAACUCUUCAUAGACAAUAUGAAAUGCAUCAAGAAUAAAUUUAAACUUAAGUGCUACUAGUUUUAAUGAGACCUGCAUCUGAUGUCAUGCUUUCAUAGGUUGCAUUUGAUGUACAAUUCCACACGCUCGUGCCUCCUUUUCCUGCUUAAUCUUAGGCAUCUCUGCAUAUGAGACCUCAUUUGUUACUUACCCCAUUGAAACCUAAUUUCUUA
rnacentral:lncRNA from 1 species